AAAAAAAAAAAAAAAAAAAAAAAAAAAAAUCUAGGAUGUAAUCGGGGCAAAAGAAAUAUUAUAAGUCAUUUCUGUUGUCUAGAGGAAAGAUAUAUGUUCACUCUAAAUUUCUUGAGGAUCAAUGACUGUAGCAACCACCAAAGAUGAAAUUAGUGAGUUCCUAGACUUUUAGUUGCUUGGAAAGCAAAAUAUUUAGAAUGAAUGAACCAAACUUUCAUUAGAAUGAAUAAUGGAAAUUUGUCUAGUUAGGUAGGGUUUCAUGUUCAUCUGGAGAUAUAAGGCGCGUUUGGUAACAUUUCUGUUCCAGAGAACAAUUUCUGAUCAGGAAUUAUUCUUUUUUAUUCUGUUCUCGGAAAGAAUUUCUAAACAUUUUAAGCCGUUUGAUAACUGUCCAAAAUUUCAAUUCCAGGAACAAAAUUGUGUUUGACACCAUCCUCAAAAUUUCUAUUUCAAUUUUUUUUUAAUUUUAAAGUAAUUUUAUUGUUUUUUUCCCUUUUUUUUUCUUCUUUUCUUUUUUUCCUUUCUUUCUCAUCUUCUUCUUCUUCAAGGUGGCCGGUCGCCAGCCUUGGGAUGAUCGGCGACCGGCCAGACGAGGGUUGCUGACCUCACCAGAGCGUCGCUGACCCUUGGUGAGGCCAUGCCUCGUCGGUGGAGCCUCGCCGGCAGCUGGGCGAGGCUCGGCCGAGCCAAGGCCGAGCGAACGGCCUUACCCAAAUCUGGCGAGGUCGAGCCCCACCAGCGGCUAGGCAAGGUCGAGCCUUGUCUAGCCAUGGCUAGGCCGAGCCUCGCCCGGCCAGGCGAAGCUCACCAGUGGCCAAAGGAUGCCCCGGCAAGGCCCGCUUGGCCAUCGGUGAGGCUUGGCCUCGCCGGUGGCUGGGGGAGCCUCUAGUGAGCUUGUCGAACUGGCCGCCGACGAUAGGUGGCAGUGGGCGGCGAACGGUGGUGGACGGCAAUGGCGGCGGCGGCGGCAGCAAUUGAAGAAGAAGAAAGAGGGAAGAAGAACAAAAGAAAAGAAAAGAAAAGAGUGAAAAUAGGUUGCUUGAUUUUUGAAUUGUUCCCGAGAACAAAAAAUCAAAUUUUUUUAUUUCUCAAUUCUGUUUCAAUUCUAUUUCCGAGAACAAAAAAAUAGAAAUUUAUUUCCGGGAACAAAAAUUUUACCAAACGAAUUUCUAUUUUAAAUCUAUUCAUGGGAACAAAAGAAUAUAAAUUGUUACUAUUUAGCAAGUUACUAAACAGAGCCAUAAUAUGAUUUGUAGUAACUAUUUGUGCAAAGUCCAUAAUGAUGCUCGAUCUAUAAUCAUGCUCGAUCUUGGGCAAGGAUUUCUAUGCUCAACUUUCCCAUUGAUCUUCAACUGUUUGAAAUUAGAUCAUGGAAAGUGUUGGUGAGGCCAAUGAUGGAUUUUCCCUGACAUUACGGUAAAGACAAAUCAACACCUUAUAUUUUAUUACUUUUACCAAAAAAAAAAGACAAAUCAGCACCUUAUUAAAAAAAAAAAGUUUGCAUAUUUGAAGACCAUAACCUUUGAAAUGCACCUCCAUUAUAAAUUAGGAUGCCAAAUUCCUACACAUCCUAUAAAAACGAAAGACAUGAUCAGUCAACAGCCUAAACAGGCCACAAAACAUACUAUAAAUGAAUUUUGAGCCUUAUCUUGUAAUAUAUGUAUCUCUCGUUUCAUUGGGUGUUCAAGAUUCUAUCCUUAUCUUUGGUCCAUCCUACAUUGCUUGCUCUAGUCCACUAGUUUGGGUAGUUCAUGUCAGCGUGGGUAGAUUUUUUUGAGUUUCUUUGAUAAUUACAAGCGAUAUGGCAACUUCGAGGAUUUGAUGCUAGGGCCCUUGAUAAAGCACCUUAAUAAUUUGUCACAUCAAUCUAAUAUUUGUUUGGAGCUUUUAGUAUGCGUUUGUUCUGCAAAAAAUAAAUAAUUUGAAAAUUAUUCUUUUAAAAAUAAUCAUUAUAUUACUUACUAUAAUUAAUAAAUGAAGAAAUUUUUUAUUAUUCAUGAAAAUAUUUAAAUAUAAAUUAUUUUUUAUAGUAAUUUUUUUAAUUAAUUACCUAUAUAACUUGAAAUAAUUAAUUAAUUAAAAUAUUUUUAUUGUUAAUGAUAUUUUUUUAUCUAAACAUUUUAUUCAUCCAAAGCGAAGACCUUGACUUGACUAGCCUUUGCCUUUUCUAUCAAUAAUAGAAGUAGAUGAGAAAAUCGAAGGGCAAUUAUUGCCCGCGUGAUUUCCACUGCAUUUUGCAGAAGGUGCGGGGACCAUCCUAUGCUUUUUGACUUGAGUUGCUUUUUCUUCUAAUAAAGAAAACCGACCAAUUCUCACCAAAACUAAUUUCCACGCAGGCAAUCAAUGCACGCACAGUUUCCACGGCAAUUUGCAGGAGGUGCGUGGAACAAUCCCAUGCCAGUGCUUCUUGACUUGACUUUGCUUUUUCCUGUUAAUAAGAGAAAUACAAAAGAAAACUAACGAGCAUAGUAAUACUUCCGUGCUUCCGGUGCCAUUAUACACGAGUCAAUCAUGAAAACAUCACUCCUUGAAUUAUUAUUUCCGCGGCAUGAUGCGGGAGGUGCGUAUUCUCUACCAAAUAAUUUUAAUAAUUAAAUAAGUUAGACUACGACAGCGUUUAAUGAUAAUAUAAAUACUUAUUGGCAUAAAUUUUGAAGAAGAUAUCUAUUUUAUCAGAAAAUCAGAAUACAAACCCUUAAAUUUGUAUGUAGAGCCACCUCUUUUCUGCUGUUUAAUGGUCUUUGAAAAUUAGACAUGAAAAUUUUACUAAAGAUGGGAAUCGGAUGAGACUCCAUAUCCUAGUUUGAAUGGAGUUACGAGCAUAUUAGCACAUUAAUUUUAGUAACAAUUCUGAAGAAUCUACUAUAUGAAUAUUAGAUUAUCAAGAUAACUAAAAAUCAAUUGAUAAUAAAUAUGGGAAGAUUUCUUUGUCCUUGUUUGGGUGAGUUGGAUGAUUACGACGAUCUCGUUUGCACAAUCAACAACUAAUUGAGUUAUUACAUUACGUUAAAUCCAUCUCACGACCUACACAAGAUAAUUUUAAUUAACCUUCUUUUUCCUUUGCACAUAUUCCCAAGGUCUGAUAGUUGGCCCCUCCUGAGUUGUUGGAAUCUUGGGUUCAUAAAUGGGAAUAAAUGUUAAUGCCAUGCCAUCUCGGCACAAACCUUAAAUAAUCCAACCUUUGCGAUUGACACCGUGCAACAACACAUGAUCAAUGAAAUUUGUAGAUCUGAAGCUUCCAGCAAGUACAUGUGAAGCUUUUAUUGAAAUUCGAGAUCCAGCACACCUGACUAGACUUGCUUUUUAACAUAUAAAAGAAAAUUAACGAGCAACAAUUGUUAUAGGUCGUUGUCCUUAGUGAUUGGAUAGUAUUAACUAACUAUACUACAAUGUCAUGACCUUGAGCAAUUACACUGUGAUAGUAUGAACUAACUACACCAAAUGGUUACUGUUUGUUUCCUAAGUAGAAUAACAUUUUUUAUGAUGUUUAAUACACUACCUCAAUUUACAAAAAACAAAAUAAGACACGUUAAUGUGGUGGACAAUGUAGUUCAUGAGGACGACAGUGUACUGGUUAUGCGUUCCAUUAAAAUGAAAGAAAAUGUUGUUUGAUAAUAACUAAUUUCCACAACAUUACGCGAAAGGUACUGGGAACCUAUACACGUGCCAACACCACUUGAUUAUAAAAUCGGGCCAUGAUAACUAAUUUUUAUUGAUACUGGAGCACCCAUGGGGCUUUCGUUUUCCUUUGUCUCUUCCGGCGAUGGCUUCAUGGAUUGAUAUAUAUGCAAUAAUAUCCUGAAACACUAGAGCGUUUGUUGGGUUUCGUCGUUUUUUAUCGCUCAUUUAUUUAUUGGAUAGGGUAUUUGUCACAGUCAUUGUUAUUAUAAUCAUUUAAACGAUGUUAUAUUUGAGUAUUACACUAAAUAUUUUAGCCAUAUAUCUUUAAUAAAUAAGGUACUACAAAUGAAGCAAGCUUAAGGUAUUGUGCAACAUUUUAGCCAUUUUGCUUUGUUGGAAUGUAAAAGCUGUUCUCUCUCUUAAUAUUCAUGAUCCAAUAAAUAUAAAUCCUCCUCAUAUUAAUGAAAAAAAAUGAAGAACAACUCAUGCUCGUUAUAGCUGUUUAUCAUCGGUGAUUGGAUAUUAUGAACCAACUAUACCACAAAAUCAUGACCUAGACCAAUUAUUUUGCUAUAUAAGAUUGCAUAAUAACCAAUUGUUUUAAUUUUUUUUUUCUGUAAGAAGGCAAAGAGAAGAAGGAAGGAUGGAUGGAGUCCAAAGAGAACGAUAGAGAGCGACGUAGAAAAAUUUGUUGUAUUCUUUCAUGUAAUACUGAAUGUACAAUUCUCCUAAGAUAUAAUACAAGUUGUGUCCUGUGUAAGGAAAUAAAUGAUCCUAAAUAUCAAUCUAGAUCAAAUCUAAUAUUUAAUUGAUAUAUAUACACAAAUCAAGAUCAAUUAAGAUGUCGAGCAAUCGUCCACACAUUAACCGCAUAUCUUCCAACACUCCCCCUCAAGCUGGUGGCUUGUAGAUGUCCAAGACGCCUAGCUUGUUUAAUAGAUAUGUGUGUUGUCUCUGACAUAAGGGUUUGGUGAACAUGUCUACUGGUUGUUCCGAUGUACCAAUUCCUCUUGUCUCAAUUACUCCUUCUUGGAUCUUUUCCCGCAUAAACUGACAAUCCACUUCUAUAUGCUUGGUUCUUUCACGCACUAUAGGAUUAGAUGCAAGUUUAAGAGCUGCGUCAUUAUCACAAUAUAACUUCGUGGGUCUUUACACUUCUUCUCCAAGAUCCUUAAGUAAUCCUCGUAUCCAUACUAUUUGACAAGUGGCUUUGGCCAUAGCUCGAUACUCUGCUUCGGCUAAGGAUAGAGACAUAGCGGGUUGUUUCAUGGUCUUCCAAGAAAGAAGAGAUUCUCCCAACUUAAUGCAAUAUCCAGUGACAGAUCUUCGAUUAAUAGGACAUGUUGCAUAGUCCGCAUCACAAUAUGUUGUCAUCCUUAUGUCACAUCUUUUAGAUAGAAGUAUCCCAAGUCCUGGACAUUUCUUCAGAUAUUUCACGACCUUUAAGACAGCAUCCAAAUGAGAACGCUUCAGGUUGUGCGUAAACUGACUAAGUGUCUGAACCGCAUAUGAGAUAUCAGGUCUAGUCAUUGUCAGGUAUAUAAGUUUCCCAACAAGUCUUUGAUAGCCUCAUGAAUCACUGAGUACGGGAUCAUCAUUUUGAGAUAUUCCCUUAUCAUAAUCUGCGAUGGUCAACUUAGUGUUUUGCUCUAUGGGAAUUACAGCUGGCUUGCAUCCUGACAAACCUACUUCUGAUAUGAUCUCUAAUAUAAACUUUCACUGACUAAGGGAAAUCCCCUUGUCAGAUCAGGCAAUUUCAAUUCCAAGGAAAUAUUUAGGUGCUCCUAAGUCUUUAAUAUGGAAGGUGGCAUGCAAAUAUUCCUUGAAAUUCUCUAUAGAGGCUCUAUCAUUUCCCAUAACAAGUAUGUCAUCAACAUAAAUCAUUAAAUAAAUAGAUUACAUACCUUUAGUUCUUGAGAAUAGAGCAUAAUCGUGCUUGGAUUGCUUGAAGCCUGCUGUUGUAAGAGCGCUGGCAAAUUUAGCGUACCAUUGUCCGGAUGCCUGUUUUAAUUCACAAAGGGAUUUACGGAGACAACAUACCUUAUUUUCCCCCUGUCUCCAUAUGCCUUGAGGGAUAUCCAUGUAGAUUUCUUCAUCUAAGUCACUGUGGAGGAAGGCAUUGUGAACAUCCAUUUGGUGUAAAUGCCAGUCAUUAAUGGCAGUGACAGCUAAGAAUGAAUGGACUGUAAUGUCUUUGGCAACUGGAGAGAACGUCUUGUGGUAGUCCAAAACUUCUCUUUGUGUGAACCCUUUGGCUACCAAUCUUGCCUUGUAUCGUUCAACAGAGCCAUCAGCAUGAUACUUGAUCUUGUAGACCCAUUUGCAUCCAAUCGGUUUGCGAUGAGGUGGCAAUGGGACAAGAUCCCAUGUAUGAUUAUCGGUAAGUGCCUUCAAUUCUGCCUUCAUGGCUUCUUGCCAUCUUGAAUCAAUGGAAGCUUCGUCAUUAUUGGACGGUUCCUUAUCGUCGGAUAAACGACUAAUGCAACAUCUAUGCUCUUGAGAUAAUCGAUGGAAGGAAACAUAUGAUGAGAUUGGAUACUGAAUACCUGGAGAGUUGUGAGUAGCACAGUCAUAGUCUUUGGUCUAGGUUGGAGGUCGUGUAGCCCGUCCAGACCGCCUAAGAUAAUCAACUCCAGUGGUAGGUUGAAAUGUCUCUGAAGAGAAAGAUGGUGCAGUGUCAUGAACUUCCUCAUUGGCAAUGGAAUCUUCUAAUGUAUCUUCCUGAAUAUUUUCUUAAGAAUUCGAAUUCGUAUUGGAAUUCAAUGGAGCUAGAGCUGGAGGAAGAAUAAGACUCCUUGGAUGUGCUACUGGUAUGUAGGAGAGAUCUUGAUAUAAUGCCUCAUUAGAGAGAAAAUUAUGAUGGCUGGAUACAUUCUCUUGGUUUUCAUCUGGAGAUGCACUUUCAGAAAACGAAAAAAUAUUCUCAUGGAAAAUUACAUCACGACUUACUAAGAAUUCUCUUGUGGAAAUCUCAAGGACCCGAUACCCCUUUUGUAGAUUGGGAUAUCCCAUAAAGACACAUCGCCAUGCACGUGGACUCAAUUUAUCUCGAGGUCCCAUUGUUGCGACAUAAUAGAGACAUCCAAAGAUCCUGAGGUGAUUCAAUUCAGGCUUCUUCCCGAACAGCGGCUCAAAUGGUGUUUGCCCAUUGAGGAUUCGAGUGGGCAUUCGAUUAAUAAGAUAAGCUAUUGUGGUGAUACAGUCUCCCCAAUAAUUUUCCAAAAUUGAUGCCUAAAAUUUUAAGGCACGAGCAACUUCCAAUAGAUGGUGAUGCUUGCGUUCAACCACUCCAUUUUGUUGUGGUGAAUGAAUGCAUGAACUUUUGUGUUGAAUACCAUGAGAAUUGAAUAAUAGGGAGCAUUCAUGACUGAAAAAUUCUCUCCCGUUAUCAGUACGGAUCCGCUGAAUGGAUUUCCUGAAUUGAUUCUUGGAUAGCAAAAUGAAAUUUUUCAGGUGAUAGUAGACUUGAUUCUUAGACUGCAUCAAGAAAAUCCAUGUUGCCCGAGAAUAGCGGUCCACUAUCAUAAGAAAAUAAUGAGAGCCAUCAUGAUUUACUGUAUGAUAAGGUCCCCAAAUGUCCACAUGAAUUAAUGCAAAAAUUUCACUAGUCCGGGAGGUACUAGAAGGAAAUGGUGUACAUGAUUGCUUUGCAAGGGGACAUUUAGGACACUCAGGAUAUGGAAAGGAGGCACAAUGACCCAAUCUCAUAUGCAUAGUAAAAUUUCUAUCAUUGGUAGUUAAAUUACACAAUGAUUUCUUAUUCAAUGAAUUACUGGAAAAAUUGAAAUUACUUGGAAAACUCGUCCAGAAAAAGAGUCCUUCAGAAAGAUUACCCAAGUCCAUCAGUCUGCCAGUCGAAAGGGCCUGAAAUAAACAGGUGUCAGCAUCAAAGAUUACCCGGCAUGAAUUUUCUUUGCUGGGUUUAGACACAGAUAUGAGGUUGAAUUGGAAUUCUGGGACAAAUAGCACAUUCUGAAGAACAAUCUGAGGACUGAGAUUAACUGUUCCUGUCACUUUGACAUGAGUAAUAUUUCCGUUGGGUAAUUGUACGGAGACAGGAAAAUUCAAGCUUUCAUUUAUAUUUGAAAAAAAAAUCCCUUAUCGCAUAUAAUAUGGUCACUUGCCCCAGAGUCUAUAAUGCCUAAGAAUACCUGAGAAACUUCCCCCUUUGUUGGAAAUAUCCAACUUCUGCAAUGCCUGCAUGAGUUGCUGAUACUGACCAUAUGAAAUAGGCUUGCUCAAUUUUUGGACCAGUUGAUCCAGUGACCCGAUAAGCUGUGGAAAUUUUUUUCUCAUUUUCUCCCGGUUUUCCAUGUAAUUUCCAACAACUGUCAAUAGUAUGGUUAGUAUGCUUACAAUAUUCGCAAAAAAAAAAAAAAAAAUUUACCCUUUCCUUUUAAAUUUUUUGCGAAAUUCCUUGAUGACGUGGCGAAGAUCUAGCCGUCCGCUCCUUUAAACGCGAUCUCCUGUCCACCGUCCGAUCCAUAUAUGAUCUCGGCCCCUUGAGAACCAUCCGAUCCUUGCGUGUAAUAUGGGCCAUUCGUCCCGUCUCUUUUAAGGCCACGUGAGUCCCCAUCGCUAAACCCUAAGGGGCUCUUCCUUUCCUUUUCGCGAGCUAGGGUUAGGGUUGCUCUGGUGGCCACAUCUCUUCGUUCAACGCGGGCAGCGAGAGUGAUGCUCUCGAUGUUCCUCGUGUGCUCGGCCGUUGCGAGUUGCUGACUCUCCUCCUACAUCGCCAACUGGAUGAUACGCCCGAUCGAUAGCAUGGGAUCCAUAGCAAGGAUUUGUGAUCGAAACGUGAGGUAUGAUUAGUUUAGAAUCAGCAGAAAUCGCGUGGCUUUUUCUCUUUCUUUAAUCCUUUUAUAUUGCUUGAGGAUAGAUUCCGGCCCUUUGAGCUUUUCUUUUACUGCCUCGAGUUGAUUCCAAAGUGAUGAUAGUCUGUUGAAGCAGGCCGUGACCAUCAUGUUUCCUUGUUUAAGCUCGCUGAUUUCCUGCAUGAGAUUGAAAAUUUUGGCUUGAUCUAGUCUACCAUACAUUUCUCUUAUGUUUUCCCACAUAGUUUUUGCAUCCUCUGUGGGUGGAAGUCCAACUACUACUUCUGGGGAUAUGUAAAUCUCAAUCCAUGUUUGGACAAGUUGAUUGCACUUCCGCCAGUGUCGGGCUAGGCGUUCAUCGAAGGGGAUCGCGACGGUUCCAUUGAGGAACCCGUCUUUGUCCUUUGUCACCAGUGCCCGCCAAAGCUCCUGUGAUCACUUCGAAUAACUCUCUGGUCCAGUCAAUUGCUGGCUUAUCAGUCGAAGCUUCGGUCCGUCGGCAGUGGAGACAUACAGAGGGUCACCUAGUUCUGGUCAUCCAGUGAACGCUGCUACUGGAACAAGCAAAAAUCCGGUAAUGAAAUUCAAGUAAGGAUUCGUCCCUUGACCCAAUUUGCCCGACCCAACCGGAUAACCCGCAUUGAGAUAUCCCGGGUAAGGAUUCGUCCCUUGACCCGAUUCGCUCACCCGUCUGCUCCAUUCCGAUGGUUGGGCUUGCCCCAUUUGUGGCUGACGGGCCCCCAUCAUAACUCUGGUGGCCCACGAAAACAGGCGAUGAGGAACUUGGGCUUGGCCCAAAAUAUAGUGGAUAUGGGAUCCACUAGUAUGGUUGGCCCAUCGUGGGUUGCCCCAAAUGGAAUUGAGUCUGCGUGGGCCGCCACUGCACAGGUUGGGCUUGAGUUGAUUGUUGGUCGGAUACUGGAAUUAUUGCAGGGAGAUUCUGGAUCUGUGGAGCUUGAGGACUUCCUUCGUCUCCAGUGGUCCUGUUGUCGGCAGCUGGAUUGAAGUCUUGCGGGGAAGCCAUGGUGAGUCAAAAAAAAAAAAUCCUUCAUUCGAGAGUAUGCCUAAUGCCAAAUGAUUGAUUCCUUCGCAAGUUGAGGAUUCUCUUUGGCAGCAGUUUGAGGCGGAAGCGAGUCAAAGACCGAGUUGCUCUGAUACCAUGUAAGAAGGCAAAGAGAAGAAGGAAUGAUGGACGGAGUCCAGAGAGAACGAUAGAGAACAGCGUAGGAAAAUUUGUUGUAUUCUUUCAUGUAAUACUGAAUGUACAAUUCUCCUAAGAUAUAAUACAAGUUGUGUCCUGUGUAAGGAAAUAAAUGAUCCUAAAUAUCAAUCUAGAUCAAAUCUAAUAUUUAAUUGAUAUAUAUAUAUAUAGACAAAUCAAGAUCAAUUCAGAUGUCAGGCAAUCGUCCACAUAUUAACCGCAUAUCUUCCAACAUUUCCUAUGUAGAAUCUAUCUUGUUAGCAUCUUUACUGUGCUACCUCAAAUUACAAAUGGAAAAAAAGAUGAUAAAAUAAUUGAUAUUAUAGUUCAUAAGUAUGAAAGUUUACCGGUUAUGUGUUUUGCUAUGGAAAAAAUAAACAAGGAGAAAGCAAAAUAAAGUUUAGGGAAGAAUAUGAAAUGAAAUUUCUUUCACGCUAUAAAGUUCUUUUUUUUUUUCUCUUAAUGGUGCUUUAACUAAUCAGUGCAUGUGAUCAAUGGAUAGAACCCUCCCUGAAAAAAAAAAUGGAACCAAGGAUGUAAACGGGGCAAAAGAAAUUUUAUAAAUUGUUUAUGCUGUCAAGAGAAAAGAUAUAUGAAUGCUAUAAAACCCUUCCUGAAAAAUAAUAAUAAUAAUAAUUGGAACCAAGGAUGUAAUUGGGGCAAAAGAAAUUUUAUAAAUUGUUUAUGCUGUCGAGAGAAAAGAUAUAUGAAUGCUCAAAUUGUUUAUGUUGUCGAGAGAAAAGAUACAUGCGUGGUCAAAAUUUCUCGAGGAUCAAGAAGUGUAGCAGCAAAUGAUGAAAUUAGUGAGGUGCUAGACUUUUACAAGUUUGGAAGGUAAGAUGUUUAAAGUGAAUGAACCAACCUUCCAUUAUUAGAAAGCAAUAAAAGGAAAUUUGUCUACCAAGCUAGGGUUCCCUCUUCGUACCAAGAUAUAAUAUGAUUACUAGUGACUAUUUGUGCAAAGUCCAUAAUUACCUACUACUCUAUCAAAAUGUGUAUUGUAGCUUUUCUAUUGUAUUUUAGUGAAUACUUCACAGUUAGAAUACCUCUAAAGUUACCACAAUUUAAAGUGCUACGAUUGUAAAAUAUGUUUUGUCACACACAAAGAUUGUAACACUUUAAAAUACAGUACAAUUACGUUUUAAUUACAAUGCUGUCUACUGUGCGUGCUUGAGCAACGUAGAACCGUGUGGAAGGUGUUUUAAUUUAAGGUGAGCACAACCUUACCUUGACUUGAUUUGAAUUGCUCUUUUUUUUUUUGUCAGUUAUACUCUAUUCAUAUUCUAACUCUCACUUUUAUUAAUAAAGAAAUGGAGAAGAAAAUCAAAGGGCAAUCAUUGCACGUGUAAUUUCCGCAACAUUUUGUGGAAGACGCGUGGAACCAUACCAUGCACUACAAGUGCGUCUUGACUUGACUUGCUUUUUUAAUCUUAAUAAAAGAGAAGGUGUUUUGAUUUAAAGUGAGCAAGACCUUCCUUGACUUGACUUGAAUUGCUUUUUUUAUUAAUAAAGAAAUAGAUAAGAAAACCAAAAGGCGAUGAAGGCAUGCGUAAUUUCCGCAGCAUUUUGCGGAAGACGCGUGGAACCAUCCUCUGCAAGUGCUUUUUGACUUGCUUUUUUUUCUAUUAAUAAAAGAGAAGGAAGAAAAAAAAACUGACCAGCUGGACUCCCAUCCUCCCGGUGCUAAUAGACAUGAGUCAAUCACAAAAACAUAUGACAUAAAUCUCGGUAGGAUACUUAAUCAAAGAUAUUCUAAUCGGGAAAGUUCCUUAUUUACGAUCUAAAAUCUACUUUUUUCCCUUUAAAAAGAGAUUCCUCCAAAAAGGCGCAUAAUGCUGAGUUGCCAUCCAAUGAUCCAAGACGCAUUCUGCUCAGAAAGGAUAAUUAUUGCACGCUUAAUUUCCAUGGCAUUAUGUGGAAGUUGGUAUGCCUUUCAAAUUGGUUGAUUUUUCCAUUAAUAAAGAAUUGGAAACGAAAAUCAAAGAUCAAUUUCGAUGCUCUGAAUCAGUAUCUUUUAUAAUGAACACGGUCCUUCGGAUACCAAUCUAGGCAAGUAUUCCCUCCCCCUUCCUGAUGGCAUUGCAGGAGGGAAUGGAUGAAGUUCGAAAUAAGUGAGUUCUAGUAGUUUCGAACUUAAGUGUAGACAAAUUUUGGAGGGCGCAAUGGUGAUGGUGUCUAGGAAUAAUAAUUCAAGUCCCCAGUUCAAGAGUCUAUCUGGUACCACUUCCUAUACUAAUUUCGGGAAAAGUGCCAAAAAAGUCCUAAACCUUUUGCCUUUGUGCCAAUUUAGUCUUAAACCUUUUUUUAGUGUCGAUUCAAUCCUAAACAUUUUUAAGUUGUGCCAAUUCAGUCCUUUCCGGCCAAUUUUGCUCGGAUUUUGCUGACUGGACGCCAACCGGCUGACGUGGCCUAAUCGGCUAACGUGGACAACUUUUAAUAAUAUUUUUUAUUUUUUUAUUUUUUAAAUUUUUUAAAUUUUUUCCUUUUUUUUCCUUUUUUUCCUUUUUUUUACUUUUUGUCUUUUUCCUCCAGCCGGUCGCCGGGGUCCGGGGACCGGCCAGAGGCGACCGCCGGCGAGGGUAAGGCCGACCUCACUGGAUCCGGCGAGGGCCGGCGAGGCUCGACCUCGCCAGAUCCGGCGAGGGCCGGCGAGGCUCGACCUCACUAGAUCCAGCGAGGGUGAGGCUCACCCAUGGCCUGAUCUGGCGAGGUCAAGCAAAGCUCGCCCUCGCCGGAUCUGGCGAGGCGAGCCUCGCCCAUGCCCUAAUCUUGCGAGGGCCGGUGAGGCUCAACCACGCCAAAUCCGGCGAGGGUGAGCCUCGCCCAUGGCCUGAUCUAGCGAGGCAACCAUGGGCGAGGCUCGCCCUCGCCGGAUCUAGCGAGGUCAGCCUCGCCAGCCCUCGCCAAAUCCGACGAGGUUGACCUUGCCCUCGCUAGUGGUUGCCUCUAGUUGGUCGCCGGACCUCAGCGACCGGCUGGAGGAAAAAGACAAAAAUUAAAAUUAAAAUAAAAACAUAAAAAUUAAAAUAUUAAAAUAUUAAAAUAUUAUUAAAAGUUGUCCACAUCAGCCGGCCGGCAUCCAGUCAGCAAAAUCCGGCCAAAAUUGAUCGAAAAUGAUUGAAUUGGCACAUCUUAAAAAGGUUUAUGACUGAAUCGGCACCAAAAAAAAGGUUUAGGACUUUUUUGGCACUUUUCCCUAGUAAUUUUUGUUGUGAAAAUGUGUAUUGCAACUUUAUAAUGUGCUUUACCGAAUAAUUCAUAGUUAUGGUACCUUCAAAGUUACAAUAGUUUUUAGAAAGGCGUCUCAUUCAACUUUCAAAUGUUAUUACUAUAAAUAUGUUGUAUCACAAAGGAAAAAAAAAUCACAACACUUCAUAAUACAACGCAGUUAUGUUUCAAUUAUAGCUACACCAAUGUCCUCGGGAAGAAAAGAAAUUUAUCAGUAUGUUAUCUAGAGGAAACAUAAAUGUUCAUCCACUACCGUGACCUUCACCGACUCUCAACCAUCAACGUUGCAUACACAACACUCUAAAGUACACGUGCUUGAACAAUGCUCAGCCCCAUGGCACCGUGCAGAAGGCACGUAGAACCGGCAUUGGUGUUUCAUGAGAAAAGUGCCAAAAAAAGUCCUAAACCUUUUGCCUUUGUGCCGAUUUAGUCCUAAACCUUUUUCUGGUGCCGAUUCAGUCCUAAACCUUUUUAAGUUGUGCCAAUUCAGUCCUUUCUGGCCAAUUUUGGCCAGAUUUUGCUAACUAGACGCCGGCCGGCUGACGUGGCUUAAUCGGCACUGACGUGGAUAACUUUUCAUACUAUUUUAAUAUUUUUUAAUAUUUUUUACUUUAAAUUUUUUUUAUGUUUUUUAUGUUUUUUAUUUUUGUCUUUUUCCUCCAGCCAGUUGCCGAGGGUUCGGCAACCGGCUAGAGGGCGACCGNNNNNNNNNNNNNNNNNNNNNNNNNNNNNNNNNNNNNNNNNNNNNNNNNNNNNNNNNNNNNNNNNNNNNNNNNNNNNNNNNNNNNNNNNNNNNNNNNNNNUCCUUGGAAUCCCCUAGCGUCUGCUGAGCCGACGAGCCUCGUCCUCACUAGAUCCAGGAAGGUCGGCUUCGCCCUCCCCAGGGCUCACCUCUGGCGACCGACUGGAGGAAAAAGACAAAAAUAAAAAUAAAUAAUAAAUAAUAAAUAUUAUUAAAAAAUUAUUAAAAGUUGUCCACGCCAGCGCCGAUCAAGCCACGUCAGCCGGCCGGCGUCCAGUCAGCAAAAUCCGACCAAAAUUGGUUGGAAAAGAUUGAAUUGGCACAACUUAAAAAGGUUUAAGACUGAAUCAACACCAAAAAAAGGUUUAGGACUAAAUCGGCACAAAGGCAAAAGGUUUAGGACUUUUUUGGCACUUUUCCCGUGUUUUGAUUGAAAGUGAGCACGACCUUAACUUGACUUGCCUUUUCCGUCAAUAAAGAGAUAGAAAAGAAAAUCAAAGGGCAAUCAUUGCAUGCAUAAUUUCUACAGCAUUUUACUGAAGGUGCGUAAAACCAUCCUAUGCAUGUACUUCUUGACUUGACUUGCUUUUUUCUAUUAAUAAAAAAAGAAAAGAAAAUUAACCAACAAGAUUCACGUGCUUCAGAUUCACAUAGACAUGAGACAAUCACGAAAACGUGAUAUGACAUAAAUGUCAAUACGACACUUUGUUUAGAUAUUCUAAUCAAGAAAGUUAAUUAUUUUCAAUCAAAAUCUCACAUUAUUUUUUUCUUUCAAAGGAGAUUCCUCCGAAAAAGCACAUGAUGUUGAGUUGUCAUCCAAUAGUCCAAGGUGCAUACUGCAUGAAAACGAUAAUUCUUACAUGUGUAAUUUCCGCGGCAUUAUGCAAAAGGUCCACAUGCUUUUUGACUUGACUUGCUUUUGAAAGUGCUAGUAUGAACACCUAGAGAGGGUGAAUAGGUGUGAAAAUAGAUUCUGCAAAAUGCAGUGAAAAACCUUUAUUUUUAACAUGAGUCUGAAUAACAACAGACUUUUGAAACUGAGUCUGAAGAGCAACAGACUUUGAGUGAGAUCAGACUUUAGCAGUUAAAUAAAAUUACGAACAAAAUAAAGGAGUUCAGGAAAGAGAAUAAGAACACAAGGUUUAUAGUGGUUCGGCUUAAUUUAAGCUUAUGUCCACUCUACCACGCUAACAGCCUUCUUGGCUGGAUUCCACUAUGCAAUCAACAAGAGAUUACAACUUUGAGUGCAAACACUUAGUAGAUCACACUAUCUCACUAAGUCACUCUUUUGGUAUUUCUCUCACGAUCACAAAUGUUUAAGCUCACAAAAGACAAGUGUAUGAUCGAAGGUCGCUCGGACUUUGGAAUUAUAAAUUCUACGCUUCGUCUCUUACUUGGUCAUCGGUCCUUGAUUUCCUUAAAUACUCCUCCACUUCCAAACUAGCCGUUGGACAGUAUCUUGAGGAUCGUCUUCCAAUCUACUCAUUGGACAAAUCUGUAUCAAGAAGAUUCGGAAGCCGUUGAGUGACAAAAGUAGAAUCCCAAAUUGAUUCUGAUCGCCCAUACAAACAGAAUCUUGGUUUUCAUAAGUAAAGCUUCUUCGUAUAGAAAGUUCUUGUCGUCAAUAUCCAAUUGUCAAUCAAUUAGAUUGAGUCAAUCAAAUCAAUCUUGAUGUGGAAUCCAAACCAGAUCACUAGCCGUUAUAUGAUUGGGGCUUGUGUUACGUUUUGUUUCGUUCUGGAUGUAAAGUCUGAGAGCAAUAGACUUUACAAUCUAAGUCUGAGUGCAAUAGACUUUACAAUCUAUGUCUGAACAUUUUUUGCUUCUAAACAAAUUUAGCUUUAAGGUCUGAACACCGUUUGAAUAAGUUCAGCUUCAGUAUAGAGUCUAUCUUUUAGUUCAACUUUAGCAUAGAGUCUAUCUUCUGAUUCUUCAUUCACGUUCAAUCUGGAAUUUGUCAGAGUUGGCAAACUUCUUAUGUAUAACAGACUUUGACACUAAAGUCCGGCAGUCUUCAGACUUUGACAAUAUCAUUUAUUUGUUCUAUCAUUUGCAUGGUCUAUUACCUAAUCAUUAAACAUGUUAGUAGCCUUUGAUUUAUUUUGUCAUCUUCAAAACAUUAUAAGGGAUUUCCCUAACAAUCUCCCCAUUUUUUAUGAUGAUAAAACGAUCUCUGAAUAUGCAGAUGUGUAAUCACACUUUUAAAGAUAAUAAAUCAAUCAUCAAAUUUUAGAUUUUCAAAAAAUGUGAUUUGAAUUAAAAGACAACAAAUAGAUUGAGCAUAACAAUAUAUAGAAAAAUAAUCGCAGCUCAAUAUUAUAAUAUCAACCAAUCAACACAUAUGCAUAUUUAUAUUCUCUCCCCAUUUUUGUCAUAAUCAAAAAGCGAUAACAAUAGAUAUAGUAUCAUGUAGAGAAUAUAAAAUGAUAAAUAUAUCUUGCAUGAAAUAUAAUUUCCAAAAAAUCAGCUUUUACAAAGUAAAUCAAAUAUUAAAGAUAUGCAAUAUAGCUUACUUCGAUGAUAUAUAUAUAUAUAUAUAUAUAUAUAUAUAUCAGUAAAUAUCCAAUAAAAAUCACGGACGCAUUAUAAAAUUCACUUUACUGCUUUUGUCAUAAUAAAAUGAUAAUAUCAAUAAGAGAUUUGUUAAUGACAAAAGAUAAUAAAAGAUGCACUAACCGGAUCUUGAAAAAUUCUGUCACAUUUACCUUUCCUUCUUUCCAUAAUAAUCAAGAUCACGAUCGAUUCAAAAAGAUUUUUCCAUAAUUGAUCAAAGCUCCCCUCAAUUUGUUGCCUUUUUGAGGUGAUCACGAUUCUUUCCAUUUCUUUUGAAUUCACGUUCUCCCCCUUUCAUUCGAUACAUAAGGGAUUUUCCUCAAUAAUUUGCAAAAACUUUGCACAAGGAAUGGAAUUUUUGAACCUCUAGAAGAUAGUAUAGAAUCUCCUCAAUUUUCUGAACAAGCUUUCCAAAAUCCAUACGGAAGAUUCUUUUGUCACCUUUUUAUUGCACCUACGAAAACUUGCAAACAUUCUUCCCUUAUAAAAUUUCCUGCAAUCAAUUCAUUUCCUUUUUGGUAUCCAUCAAUUUGGAUCCUUCCAUGACGUUAGAGUAAAAUAUGAAAUCUCAAUAAUCAAAUAUUCUUUCUUAAUUCAUCAUAACAAAGUAUUCAAAGAAAUAAUAUUAUGCAUAAUGAUAUUUUGAAAAAUAAAUUCUCACUUAGUCAUAGUAUGAUAAAACAGAGAGAAUAAAAUUCUUGAAUAUCUAAGAAUAUCUUGCAUCACGCGUAAAACAGAUUUUCACUUUGCAAAAUAUGACUAAAUCUGAGAGUAUAAAAUUAGACAAAAUAAUCUGAAUUAUCUCAAAUAAUCACACGUAUUAAAUCAAAUCUCAACUCACGAAUCACAAAAACAAAUCAUACAAUUCUUUCUUCAUUAAAACAAAAUAUGAUCAUUAUAAAAUCUAAAUCAAUCAAGGAUAUAUUGAAUAUCAAUCAUAAUGAGAAUUUUUAAAUUUUGUACUCAAACCAAAUAUAAUAUAUAUAUAUACACAUUCCUUACCAAACUCUCAUUCUUCUCUUCCUUUAUUUCCUGCAAAAAUAACUCAUCUUUUCUUUGGUACCCUUUUUUUUUGUCCAUGAGAGUUAGUAGAGUAUGCUGCUUUUACCCAAUCUUUCUUAAUAGGUCUCCAGACUUUGUGACAUUCUUUCUCAAAGUGUUCCAAAUCUCCACAAUUUGACCACUUGAGGGCAUUUCGACCAAUAGGUUUUAUAAACACUUUUUGAAAAUGAUUUUUGUAAAAUGCAUUUGGAGGUCUUUGUCUAAAUCUCUCCUUGACUUUAGGAAAAUCUAUUAGAGAAUCAUUUUCCUUAUUGAAACCAAGUCCCAACUUAUUAUAGUAAAAAACUUGUAUAGAAAGAAUAUGCUCUAAUGUUUUUGAACCAUUUGAAAAUUUUGUCGAAAUAUUUGAAAAUUCCUUUUUUAAAGAAUGAUUUUCUUUGACAAGUAAAUCUCGACUUUCUUUUGUUUGUAGAAAAUCUUUUUGCAAAAUUUCAAAAAAAAAAAAUUGAGAAAGAUCAUGUUCCCUAAGCUGAGAAUUCUCCUUUUUAAGUUCGGAAAUCCUUUUAAGAAAAGACUUAAGAUUUGAGCAAAACUCAUUUAUAUACCUAAGAACUUUAGCAAGAAUUUUUUAAUGGCUUACCUGAUUUCCUCAUCGGAUUCUGAGUCUGUGUCUGAGUCAGACUUUGAUUCUGAUUCUGAAUCUGAGUCUAAAUGUGCCAUCAAACAUAUAUUUCCUUGCUCAUCAUCUUCUUUCAUGGUUCUUUUCUGGCCAUUAUGCUUGUAUUGUCUUCUUUCACUGAAUUUCCUUUCCUUUCUACUUGACUUUUAGAAUUUCUUGAUCAUAAAAGCAAGUUCUUCAUUGUCCAUAUCAUCAGAAUCAGCGUUAGAUAUUAAAGCGAUGGACUUCUUACCUUUGGGAUCUUUGUCGUUGAGUUGUUCCACUUCAUAGGAUUGAAGAGUGCCGAUGAGUUCAUCAACAUAAAGUGGCAUAAUCCUCCAAGUCUCCCGGAUUGAGGUCUUGACAUGGUUCCAAUCUUUUGAGAGACCUCGCAAGAGUUUGUUGACCUUCAUUGGGGUAGAAAUUUGCUGACCUUGUUAUGCUAAACCAUUUACAAUUUCUGUAAAACGGCUAAACAUAUCUCCAAUCGACUCUCCUUGCUUCAUCUUGAAUGAUUCAUAUUUGCCUAGCAGGAAAUUUAUUUUUGUCUCUUUUACACAAUUGGUCCCUUCAUAAGUACAUGAAGUCUAUCCCAAACUUCUUUUGUUGUUUCACAUGAUAAGAUUAUGUUAUAUUCAGCAGGAGAUAAAGUACAAUAUAAAAAAUAAAUGGCUUUUGCAUCAAGCGCUUCUCUUUUGGACAUCUCCAUCCAAGACAUAGGAGCAGGGGGUUUGGUUUCUUUGUCUUUGCCAUUCGUAUUUGAUGUAGACGCAAUUGUGGGAUUGAUUCCUCUUUCCACAACAUCCCAUUGCAGGGGAUCUCUGGAUCUUAGGAAUGCUUUCAUUUUGUUCUUCCACAUGUUGUAUUCCUUUCCAUCAAAAUAUGGUGGCCUUGUGUUGUUUUGUCCUUCCAUAAGUCCUGGUGCCAAGAUACUAGCCAUAAAAGAUCUUUAGCUCAAAAGUAAAAGCACUUUUAUAAACCGAGCACUUAGCUUUGAUACCAAUUGAAAGUGCUAGUAUGAACACCUAGAAGGAGUGAAUAGGUGUGAAAAUAGAUUCUGCAAAAUGCAGUGAAAACCUUUACUUUUAACCUGAAUCUGAAUAACAACAGACUUUUGAAAUUGAGUCUGAAGAGCAACAGACUUUGAGCGAGAUCAAACUUUAGCAAUUAAAUAAAACUACGAACAAAAUAAAUGAGUUCAGGAAAGAGAAUAUGAACACAAGGUUUAUAGUGGUUCGGCUUAAUCUAAGCCUACGUCCACUCUCCCACGCUAACAGCCUUCUUGGCUAGAUUCCACUAUGCAAUCAACAAGAGAUUACAACUUUGAGUGCAAACACUUAGUAGAUCACACUAUCUCACUAAGUCACUAUUUUGGUAUUUUUCUCACAAUCACAAACGUUUAAGCUCACAAAAGACAAGUGUAUGAUUGAAGGUCGCUCGGACUUUGAAAUUAUAAAUUCUACGCUCCGUAUCUUACUUGGUCAUCGGUUCAUGAUCUCCUUAAAUACUCCUCCACUUCCAAACUAGCCGUUGGACAGUAUCUUGAUGAUCGUCUUCCAAUCUUCCGUUGGACAGAUUUGUAUCAAGAAGAUUUGGAAGCGGUUGAGUGACAAAAGUAGAAUCCCAAAUUGAUUCUGAUCACCCAUACAAACAGAAUCUUGGUUUUCAUAAGUAAAGCUUCUUUGUAUAGAAAGUUCUUGUCUUCAAUAUCCAAUUGUCAAUCAAUUAGAUUGAGUCAAUCAAAUCAAUCUUGAUGUGGAAUCCAAACCAGAUCACUAGCCAUUAUAUGAUUGGGGCUUGUGUUACGUUUUGUCUCGUUCUGGAUGUAAAGUCUGAGAGUAAUAGAUUUUACAAUCUGAGUAUAAGUGCAAUAGACUUUACAAUUUGGGUCUGAACAUAUUCUGCUUCUGAACAAAUUUAGCUUUAAGGUCUGAACACCAUCUGAAUAAGUUCAGCUUCAAUAUAGAGCCUGUCUUCUGGUUCUUCAUUCACGUUCAGUCUGGAAUUUGUCAGAGUUGGCAAACUUCUGAUGUAGAACAGACUUUGACACUAAAGUCCGGCAGUCUUCAGACUUUGACAUUAUCAUUUAUUUGUUCUAUCAUCUGCAUGGUCUAUUACUUAACCAUUAAACACAUUAGUAGCAUUUGAUUUAUUUUGUCAUCUUCAAAACAUCAUAAGGGAUUUCCCUAACAGCUUUUUCUAUUAAUAAAGGAAUAAAAAUGAAAAACAACUAUCAAUUAUGAUGCUCCAAGUCGGUAAUCACAUUCCCCACCAACUAAUUUAAUUAAAAAGCAAAUUGCAGUAACCCCUACUCACUCUUUGCAAGAUGGAUGCGCAAGGUCAAUGUCCAAUCAAACUAAAUAUCACGAAGGUCCCCUAAUCACACAUGUUAGCACCUAUAGUUGUGAAGAGGAGGCCUAUUUAAUCAGAAAAUCAUAAGAUAGACCACUAAAUUCAUUCAUGGAGUCACCUUGUUACACGUUGUUUAAGGUCUAUUGAAGAUACGAUGCAAACAGUUUACUAGAGACUGGAAUUGAGUGAGAUCCUAUAUCCCAAAUUUGAAUGGAGCUACAAGCAUAUUAGCACACAUAAUAUAUUAGCAAGUCCAGAAGAAUCUACAGUAUAUGAAUAUUGAAUUAUCAUGACAAUUAAAAAUCGAUUGAUAGUAUAUAUGGGAAGGUUUGUUUGUCCUUGCUUGGGCAAGUUGGACGAUUAUGACGAUUGUAUUUGCACAAUCCACAACUGAUUGAGUUGAGGCAUUAUGCUAAAUCCAUCUCAUUACAUAAACAAGAUGAUUUUGCCCGAUCAUUUUUUUUUCCUUUUCACAUACUCCCUCCACUCCAUAGUGGGUGGAACCGCAAAUGUUAAUCCCAUACCAUUUUUGCACAUACCUUAAAUAAUCCUGUUGGGAUUGUCGGAUUCCCAAAAACCGGAUUCGACACUAAAUCGAACCCCUAAAACGAAUGCGGAAGACGAGCCCGGGAAAAACACAUGCAUCACCGAUCCUAAGGCACAUCACAGAAUUGAACGUACCUUGUUAGCCACAGAUUAAACACUGAUGCCAAUAUGAGGAAGAUAAUUUUGGCCAUAUUCAAUCCGAUGACGCUAAUCCGCCUUGAAGGGAAGAUGGGUGUCGCCUUUUGCUCACUGUUCUUUCUUUUUGGAGCAUUUCAAGGGAGAGAGGGAGGAGUAACGUACGUUAUGCCAAAAGGUGCGUUCCUCCCUCUUUAUCUCCCUUUAUAUACGUUCCCUCCAAAAAAGAAACGUGUCCCUUCAUCAUAUCCCUUCAUCCAUGGGCCUUAAUCUUGUGGGCCGGGCUUUUAGGCCCAACAUGGGCGGACAGGCCAACUUAGGCCCAUCACUUUAAUAAAACCAUCAUCUCCCACUCGCACAUGGUGGGCUAAACAGUAUUCUCUUUACAUCUCUUCAACAUUCAUACCGGUGAAUAAUCCGUGCGACCAGCAUACUUUGAGAGCUCGUUGCUAUACAUCUAUUAGGAAUAUAUAGCAGCUCAUAAUGAGCAUCACACUCUGAGUAGAUUUAGUAUGCAGUACCCUAGAUCGAUCAAUCACAUUUAUAUCUCUCUUGAUCUCUUUUAAGCAAUGAUAUAUAUAUAUAUAUAUAUAUAUAUAUAUAUAUAUUGUAUUCACAAUUAUGAUUAUCCCAAAGACAGUCAUAAUUGGUCGACCAGUGAAUACAAAACUACAAUGUGAUUCUCCAAAUUUGAUCUUCCUCUUUUCUUCAGACUCUCAAUUUCAGUUCAGCUUGCUUUUCUAGAAAUGUCCCAUUAGAUCGAAUGAACUCAUGACCAUUGGAGACAUCCUAAGAUAGCAAACACUAAAUAGAAAUCUUGAGAAUAAGUAAGAGUCAUGAGGGCACUAAACUUGAGGAACUCUUUUCCUCAAGAGUCUCACAUGGCAUAAAAGUUGAGAUCAAACUUUUGCCACUCUUAUUGGUCGUCUCAUGCAUACGUAAUAUGAAAUACGUAUUACGGUAUUAACUCAUUUCCCAUGGAGCGUAUGUCUACAUCUUCAAUACCGUACAGAUGAUAGUUCAGACAUACCUAAUGUCUAACUUGAGUUCACAUAUCUACUCAUUCACAAAAUUCAUCAGAACUCACAUCCGGCAUCUUAGACAGAUAAAGAAAAAUAUGUGAGGUAUUUUACUUUCGAACAUAGUAAAUAUUGUGUCCUCAUCUUAACACCCAGUUAAGGCGACAAAUAUAUUUUAAGCUUGAGCUCUCGAUUAUCACCUAGAUAAUAAGCUUAAAAGCCGUCUCAUCUCUAUUUAUCACAUAGUAAAUAGAGGCGAUUACCCGUGUGAGUGGGCUAAUCUUAUAUCUGUCCGACAUACUUUCUCAACUUAAAGUAAUGCACUAAGCAUUAAGAUGCAUAAAGAUCAAACAAAGAUUCAUAGGCAUUGGCUUUGUCAUAGGAUUUGCUAUCGUUCUAUGCGUAGAUAUGUACUGUAAGUUCACAUCCUUUCAUGCAACCAUAUCUUUGACAAAGUUAUACUUGGUAUCUAUAUGUUUGGUCUUGCCAUGAUAUUUUGGAUCUUUGGUGUACGCUAUAACUGCUUGGCUAUCACAAUUAACCAAUAAUGGAUUUGCAGCUUUCUCAAUAACACCUAAAUUAUCCAAAAAUCUCUUAAGCCAAACUCCUUCUUGUACCGCUGCUGAUAAUGCCACGAACUCAGCUUCCAUCGUGGACAAGGCUAUACAUGUUUGCUUCUUACUGCUCCAUGAUAUGGCGCCAUUGUUCAGUAAGAAAGCAAAUCCAGAGGUAGAUUUUCUUUCAUCUAAAUCUCCUUCCCAAUCAGCAUCUAAAUAGCCUUCAAGUCGCAGAUCCUUUCCUUGGUAAUUCAACUUGUAAUCAGUAGUUCCCUUCAGAUACCUCAGUAUUCUCUUAACAGCCUUCCAAUGUGCUUGACCUGGGUUGGAUUGGUAUCUACUCACCAUUCCAACUGCAAAACAUAUGUCAGUUCUUGUACACAUCAUAGCGUACAUCAAGCUCCCAAUGGCACUAGCAUAAGGAACAUGUUUCAUUUGUUCCUUCUCUUGUGGAGUCCUUAGACACAGUUUAUGGCUCAAUCCUUCACCUUUUGCAAUAGGAGUGUCUAUGGGUUUACAAUCUUGCAUACGAAAUCAUUCAAGAACCUUAUUUAUAUAUGUUUCUUGUGAAAGAGAUAAUGAUCUCUUCGAACAAUCUCUUGAAAUCUUAACUCCAAGAAUGUAUGCAGCCUCACCCAUAUCCUUCAUCUCAAAGUUGGAAGACAACCAACUCUUGACAGUAUUAACAAACUCCAUAUUACUUCCGGCAAUUAAUAUAUCAUCAACAUAUAAUAAUAUGAUCACAAAUUGAUCUUUGGAUCUUUUGAUAUAUACACAAUGAUCCUCAUCUAUUAUUGUAAAAUCAUAUGCCAUUAUGACAUUAUGAAAAUGUAUAUACCAUUGUCUUGACGACUGCUUAAGGCCAUAUAUCGAUCUCAAAAGUCAACAUACAUUUUCUUCUUGGCCUUCUUUAAUGAAACCAGCAGGUUGUUCCAUAUAUAUUUCUUCCUCUAAUUCUCCAUUGAGGAAAACAGUCUUUACAUCCAUUUGAUGUAACUCAAGAUCCAUACUAGCCACUAUUGCCAGAACAAUGCGAAUCGAGGUAAAUCUUACUACAGGAGAAAAUGUUUCUUCAUAAUCAAUUCAUUCUUGUUGAUUAUACCCCUUCGCCACAAGGCGAGCCUUAUGCCUUUCUAUCGAGCCAUCAGCUUUUUGCUUUAUUUUGAAAACACACUUGUUCCCAAUAGCUUUACGUCCUUUUGGAAGAUCAACCAGUUCCCAAACUUGGUUUGACUUCAUUGACUCAAUCUCCUCUUCCAUUGCAUGAAUCCAUUUUUCCUUACUAGGGCAAUUCAGAGCCUCAUUAAUAUUUCUUGACUCAUCCUCAUCUUGUGGAGCAAUCAUAAAAGUUUCCCCUUCAAUGUCAAAACGUCGACGGGGAAUACUUUGGCGACUUGUUCGCCGUAUGGGAGAUUGUACACUUUGCACAUCAUUCCUCAUAAUGCUCCCACUAUGAUUAGAUAAUGAUGAGGUCGUCUCAUCAUGUGAUUGUAAUUGAGAAUGAGUUGAAUUUAAUUCGUCAUUUCUCAUAUUACUCACACUUGGACGAACUCCACUAAUAUCAUUAUCUUGAUCCAAUGUUUCAAAUAAGGAGUAAUCUUCCCCUAUUUCGCCCUUCUUAGGAAAUUCAUCCUCUAAGAAUGUGACAUCUCGUGAUUCAAAUUCAGUUAUACUCCCACUUUCCUGCUCACCUAUGAACACAUACCAUUUCAAGUGUUCGGAGUAUCUUAUGAAAAUACUCUUCUUUCCUCUGGGACCCAAUUUCCCAAACUUGUGAGAGGACUCAUGAGUAUAGGCAGCACAACCCCAUGGCUUAAGAAAACUUAAGUCCGGUUUUCUACCUGUCCAUAACUCAUAUGGAGUGGAAGUAACUGAUUUGGAAGGCACUCGGUUAAGUAUAUAGGAAGCAGUUAACAACGCAUCACUUCAAAAAAUGAUAGGUAAGUUAACAUGAGCCAUCAUGGACCUAACCAUUUCCAGUAGGGUUCUAUUUCUUCUUUCCGCAACACCAUUUUGUUGAGGAGUAUAUGGAAUAGACAAUUGUCUUUCUAUUCCUUUUUCAUCACAUAAUUUUCUGAACUCAUCAGAUAAAUAUUCUCGACCUCGAUCAAAUCUUAAUACUUUUAUUUUCUUGUCUAAUUGAUUUUCUACCAAGUUCAUAAACCUUUUGAAACAACUUAAUGCUUCAGAUUUAUGAGAAAUCAAAUAGACAUAUCCGAAUCGAGUAUAAUCAUCUAUAAAAGUGAUGAAAUAAAUAGCCCCAUGCCUUCCUCUCACAUUCAUUGGACCACAGACGUCAGAAUGGAUUAAGUGCAGAGGAAAUUCAACUCUUUUACUUUUUCCAAAUGGUUUCCUUGUAGUUUUCCCUACUAGGCAACGCUCACAUAUGGGCAAAUCGACUUUUUCAAUGUUGCCCAACAAGCCCUCUUUGGCUAGUCUAUUCAUACGGUGUUGGCCAAUAUGACCAAGUCUAGCAUGCCACACAUUCACUUCAUUAUCAUAUGAAUUAGGAGACGUGAGAAGGAAAUAACAAACAUUUGCAUUAACAUAGUCAAUAUCUAAUACAAUGAAAUCAUCCAGAAAAUAACCACAACCAUAGUAAUUUGUAUCCAAAAACAAAUCCACACCUCUAUUAUGGAAGUUCAUAUUAAAACCUAAUUUAACCAACACUAAAACAGACAUUAAAUUCCGACGAAUCUUCAGAGCAUACAAUACAUCAUGUAGGAACAAAGUGCGUCCACCACGCAUGUUUAGUUGGCAAGUGCCAAUUCCUUUCACUUCAGCUCUAGAGUUGUUUCCAACAUAGAUCCACUUAGUUCCAGUUGGUACUCGUCGGAAUUCCACGAAGGAUUCUCUAUCCUUCGCUACAUGGUCUGUCGCUCCUGAAUCCACAGUCCACAAAGGAUUAGACUCAGUUAAGAAUACAGAACUCGACACAAAAACAAAGUUCUGAAAAGUACAAGGGGUGUAUACCUUCUUUGGUUCACGACAGUCGCGAGCAUAGUGACCCUUCUUGUCACAGUUGUAACACUUCACCCUUGUAAGCUUCUUCAUUCGAGGACGCUUUCCUCUUUCAUGUUGAUUAGGCUUAGGUUUCUUCCCUGAAGGACCUGCUUCCUUGCCUUUCCCUUUAUCAAACCAGUUAGGACGUUUGCACUUAGAGCUCGAAACUCCAUGUGAGCUAGAACCAGCAUGGUAGAUUUCAGCUUCUGGCUUAGCCGCCAAGAGGCGGUCCUCUUCCAGCUCAAGAUGACGCACUACAUCCUCAAAGGUUUUGAUAUUUUCAUUAUGGGUCAAGUGCACCUUCAUAUGCUCUAAACUCUGAGGCAAGGAACGAAUCACUGCUUGCACUUGCUGCUCAUCAGUGAGGACAUGUCCAGCAUCUUUCAGCUCAUUAAUCAUGUUUGACAUCUUUCUAAGAUGUUGCUUCAUGGUCUGACCAUGAGGCUUCUUAUAAGAGUCAAACCUAAUAGUGAGCUGCCUCAGUUUGGUUACUGAAGUAUGACCAAAUCUUACUGCUAAUGCUUCCCACAUUUCCUUGGCAUUCUCAAAACGCCUAAACUCUAGCAUGACGUCAUUUUCCAUGCUACUCAGCAACGUAAUGCGAGCAAGAGAGUUCUUUCUUUUCCAUGCAGCAAAUGCUUCCUUAUCUCUCUUGUGCUGUGCAGUGUUUCCUUCUUCAGGUUCUACCAUGGUCAGGUUAAGAGCUUCUAGUGCCUCUUGCUCUUCCAGCACAUAUUGGAUUUUCAUGUGCCAUAUUUCAUAGUUAUCGCCAUUGAGCUUUUCACCUUUGUUCAGCUCGGCAACUAUGCUCUUUGUGGCUGAAGCCAUUGAUCUGAACACAUCAGACAUAUAAGCACGAAUUAUUAAUGCCUAUCAUUUAUGCAUCCAUUUUGCACAAACCCAUCAUAUUAAUGAACAAUUUCAAGUAAGGUUUCAAAAUCAAAAAGGUCACUAUGUUUCCAAUCAUCCUCCAAAAAUCCAAACUUAAAACUAUCAUUAAUAUAAUUGCCUUAUGCAAAAUAAAUUCUAUGAAGCUACAAAAACUUCUAUGAACUACCCAUAGCAAUCAACAAUAACAGAAAGCAAAUAAUAUUUGACAUCCAAUAGAAUAAUAAUACUUUCACAUAAUACAACUAACAUAUCAGUUGCUACAUCAACAACAAUCAGGUAGUAAACAUUACAUAAGAUAUUCACAAAGCACACUUAACAAAGGCCAGCCAAAACAUCUAACACCAAGUCAAUACACGAACUGGAAAAGAUCCUCUUUUGUUCAAUUUCUUGAUAUUUUCCCUUGUAACAAUCCAAUAAUAAUCAUCUAUAAAAUCCAUCAUAAUUUUCUUAUAUGAAGCGGCUUUGUUGACAUCCCAUAUGCAAUUCAACACUCCUUGCCAUUCUGGUAGAAGGGUGUUCAUGAAAAAUUGCACCAUCUUAGACUAUGGCAUAGGACGACCGUUCCAUAUGACUUUUUGAAUUUUCCCGUUGACUUCAAGAACGUGGUCAAUUAAGUCACCACUCUCCCAUCGAUGAUCAGUCAGCUCAGCUAUCAACUUAGAAAGCCUUUCCUUUUGUUCAUCAGUAAUUGCGCGAACAGGUGUGCACAACCUUAAGGGAGGCAUUGUUCUUGCAACAAAUGCAGAACAAAUAAGGGAUUACAUAUAAUCCUCAUAGACAUAAUUGAAAAAAGAAACACAUUCUUUUCUUCUUCUUUUUUGGUCAACUGUCAAAGUCAACAGUCGUCAACGGUCAACGGUCAGCCGGGUCGGGUCGCCAAGUCAAGCGGGCGAUCGGACCGGUCAGACCGGUCUAACCGGUCUAACCGGGUCGGACCGACCGACCGGCACGUGCGGCACGCGUGCAGCUGACGUCACGAUGACGUCAGCUGGCGCAUGCGACCAAAGCGUGCACGCGCCUUCCCCUGCGAAUCGGCGUGUGCAACGCACGCACCGAAGACGCCGAUUCAUUCCGGCUACGCGUGGGGGCGCGUCCGGCGGCCUUUGGCAGCAUUCUGCCACUCGUCGCGAUCGUCUCGACGAAACCUUGCACCCAACGCCAUCAAAAAUCGAUUUUGAGUUACAGAAACUUGAAAGAAUGGAUGAACAGUGCUCAGGUGUCGGCCGAUUAAUUUCGCGAAAAUUCAAUUAAAAAUCAUUCAUAAACAUGAAAGGGGUCGGGAAAACAUGAAAUAGGGCUCUGAUAUCAAUGUUGGGAUUGUCGGAUUCCCAAAAACCGGAUUCGACACUAAAUCAAAGCCCUAAAACGAAUGCGGAAGACGAGCCCGGGAAAAACAUAUGCAUCACCGAUCCUAAGGCACAUCACAGAAUUGAACGUACCUUGUUAGCCACAGAUUAAACACCGACGCCGAUAUGAGGAAGAGAAUUUUGGCCAUGUUCGAUCCGAUGACGCCAAUUCGCCUUGAAGGGAAGAUGGGUGUCGCCUUUUGCUCAUUGUUCUUUCUUUUUGGAGCGUUUCAAGGGAGAGAGGGAGGAGGAACGUACGUUAUGCCAAAAGGUGCGUUCCUCCCUCUUUAUCUCCCCUUAUAUACGUUCCCUCAAAAAAAAAAAAAUGUAUCCCUUCAUCAUAUCCCUUCAUCCAUGGGCCCUAAUCUUGUGGGCCGGGCUUUUAGGCCCAACAUGGGCGGACAGGCCAACUUAGGCCCAUCACUUUAAUAAAACCAUCAAAUCCAAACUUCAUAAUUGGUAGCUUGCAAUAACAUGUGAACAAUGAAAACCAUAGAUGUGGAAAUUCUAGCAAGUGUAGCUGAAGCUUUGGUUGAAAUUUGAGAUCUAGCAUGCUUGACUUGAUUUGUUUUCUAUUAAUAAAAUAAAAUAGAAAAGAAAACUAACGGCCGUACUCGUUAAAGUUUUUUGUAAUUUAGUGAUUGGAUAUUAUGAACCAACUAAACGACAAUACGGCGACUUAGACUUGCCUUUUCUAUUAAUAAGAGAUGUAGAGAAGAAAACCAAAGGGCAAUCACUGCAAGCGUAAUUUUCGCAGAACUUUGUGGAAGGUGAGUGGAGCCAUCCAAUGCAGGCACUUGUUGACUUGAUUUGCUUUUCCAUUAAUAAGAGAAAUAGAAAAUAAAAGUAACUAGCAAUACUCCCAUGGUCCUGGACUCCUGGUGGGAAUAUCCACGAAUCAAUCCCAAAAACAUCACUAGUUGGAUUAUUAUUUUCAAAGCAUUAUCUAACUUUUUUCUUUCAAAAGAGAUUCCUCUAAGAAAAGAAAAUCAUGAAAUAAAUCUCCCUCAAUUCUCAAAAUUUCUCCAUACCAUAUCACGUUUAAAAAUUAUCUAGUCAUUAUCUCCUCACCUAAUGCAUUUUUAUAUCACUCCUUAAAUUAUUUUUAUUUUUGACAUUUUACAUUACUUUUAUACUUCAAUGUCACAAUUUUUAUUUUUGACAUUUUUAUAUCGCUAGUGGUCGCGAGGGCGGCCUUGCACCAGGCGAGCGAGGCCGCCCUCGAGGCCUGGGCCGCGAGGUCGACCUCGACCUCGCCGCCUGUCGCCUCUAGCCAGUCGCUGAGGUCCGAUGACUGGCUGGAGGAAGAAGAGUUGAAGAAAAAAAUAAAAUAAAAUAAAAUAAAAAUAUUAAAAUAUUAUUAAAAGUUGUCUACGUCAGCGCCGAUCAGGCCACGUCAGCCAGCCGGCGUCUAAUCAACAAAAUCCGGCCAAAAUUGGCCAGAAAUGACUGAAUUGGCACAACGUAAAAAGGUUUAAGACUAAAUCGGCACCAAAAAAAGGUUUAGGACUAAACUGACACAAAAACAAAAUGUUUAAGACUUUUUUGGCACUUUUCCCUAAUAUGAACUAACUAUACUACAAUAUCACAACCUUGGCCAAUAACACUGUUAUAAAUAUAUUAUCAUGACUAAAAGGUUUUCGUUUGUUUCCUAAGCAAAAUAAAUUUUGAUAAGACGUUUAAUGCACUACCUCAAUUUACAAACGAAAAAAAAAAAAACAUAAUAAGACAUGAUAAUGUAGUGGACAUUGCAGUUCAUGAGGACAAUGAUACACUGAUUACGUGUUUCGUUACGAAAGAAAUAAAUAAGAAGACAUAUAUAAUAAUGAUGAUUACACACUGAAAUAUAAAAUGAGAUAUAUUUUAGGGAAGAAUAUGAAAUGCGACUUUCUCGCAUGGUAGAGUGUAUUUAUUUUUUCCUAACGGUCCUUUUAGUAGUUGGUGGGCAUGCUUGAUGGAUCGAUCUCUCCCACAUAAAUAGAAAAAAUAAAAAAGUUGAAAUCCUAGAUGUAAUCUAGGCAAAGAAAGUUCGUUAGUCAUCUGUAUUGUCUUAACAAACGAUAAUAUUUGUUUAGAGUCUUUUGAGAAUCAAAAAGUGUAGCAAGAACAGAUAAAAUUAGCGAGGCCCUAGAUUUUUACUUAUUUGGAAGGCAAAAUAUUUGGAGUGAAUGAGCCAAACUUUCAUUAUUUGAAUGGAAAAAUGAAAUCAGUAGGGCUUCCUCAUCUUCCGGAAAUAUAAACGAAUGAGUUAGUAAUUGAUUAAAAUUAAAGAAAAAUGGAUGAGGGUCUAUUUAUGCGAAGCCCAUCAUAUUGAGACUUCUUUGACUUGGCUUCCGGUCCAAGAUACACUGCAUUUGCGUUUUUUUUUUCAACUAGAAUGGACUAUUUUCUUCUCAUUCCCACGUAGGGGUUUCUGAAAUAAUGAUACCUCACUUUAGCUGUUAAAAUCACAAUGCACCGCUCCAAAAAUUAAAGAAAUGAUCCAAAUUCUUUGCACUUGUAAACACUCUUGUAGUCAAGUAGGGAACUAUUAUUCACUUUUCCGAUAAAGUGGUUAUCUCCUGAAAAAUUGCUUUUGUUCUGUCUUUUAGCUUAUUCUUCUUUUUUUAUUGGUCGGAAAAGCACAUUCAUUUGUUCAAUCAUAAAGUCCCUACUAGAGCAAGACAAGGAAGUUUCUAUACACAAAAUAUUCCAACGGAACUGAGAGGGUAAGGACGAUUAGUUGGUAGGGAAAUUUCUGUUUCAGUGGGCAUUAGCAACGCAUUUUGUAACUUGGUUAGCCUAGUGGGGGCAAUAGACAACUUCUACCUUAUCCAAUUGAGUUGGCAAGGCCCGCCAGUCAUGUCCCUAAUAUCUCAUGGAGUUUCUUCUCGGCCCAUGAUGCACUCCACGAUUGAAAGCCAGUCACUAGGGAUAUCACAAAGGACAGAUCUUUCUUCAUGUGCACUUUCUUCAUGUGCAGGAUAGAUUCUACUAGCAAUAGACACGCACUCCUCAACCUCACAUGCCGAAUUCUCUUCCUCUGCAAGAGCAAAAGGCAUUAUUUUAUGGCUAGGGCUUUCGUGUUUAUUUAGUAUGGAGUAGAAAUCAUUUAAUUUACUUAAUCACAACGAGUUCAAUAAAUCAUUAGAUGCAUUGAUUUCAAGUAAGCUCAAAGCAUUACAACCGUUAAAUCAUGUGGGUUUCAUAUAGGAUCUGCCAAAAUUAAUUAAGGUCUCCACUUAUUGAUCAAUGAUUUCAUAUUUCAAAAUCUGCUUCUUUUGUAUAUUGGAUGACAUGGCGACCUUGGCAAACCCUCCCCCCUUCGUCGCCAGCCCUUCCCAGCAGAGGCUAGCCGCCUCCCUUUUUUUUAAUAUUUGUAUUUUUUAUUUUUAAAUGUUUUAAAUAAAUUUAGUUUUAAAUUUAAUUUAAUUAAUUUUUAUAUUAAUUAUUUACCACGUCAGCACCAAAAUGACGCCGUUUUGCACUUGCUUCGUCAAAAAAAUCACCACGUCAGCAUUUUGGCUGAAUUGGCACUUAAGUGAUCCAUUUUGCUCCAAUUUUGGCACUUAAGUGUCCAUUUAUGCCAACUUUUGGCACUCCAAAGGUCCGCACAUCAAUAAAUCAGUCUCCAACUUGAAUAUACAACGCUUUCUACGCAACACCCUAAUCACAUGUUCUUCUUUUUCACUUUUAGUCAGCCUAAAUGAAUAUAAUAAAACAAAUUAUCACCACUACAUUUGAGCAGAAGUCGAUUAGGAUGCUAAUUGUACCACUUAAGACAGAUUGUGCCAAACUAUGUCCAAAGGAAGACCCCAAGGCUGUAAAAUCUACAAGUUGAUGAGGAUGCUAAUUGUACCACUUUAAGACAAAUUGUGCCAAAUUAUGUCCGGAGGAAGACCCCGAGACUAUAAAAGCUACCUUCUGCAGCAUCCCUUAAAACUUAAAUCGAGUGCGGCGAAGGAAAGACAACUCAGCAUUUAAUGCUCAAAGUUCCAUAAGGAGAGACAUGGCCUGCACUACCUUUGCCCUUGAUCUGAACCGAUUACGCCAGAGGUUAUGCUUGGCCCAGCACCAUUUUCAACAGGAGGAGAACCACCCCACUCUCCGCUCAAGCACAUAGACGAUAUCAUUGGUAAACCCUAAUGAAAACUAGUUGGGUUCAGAUGGAUGUGCUGCCAUAAUUAGCGGGUAGACUCUCAAGUUGCCAAAUACAUCAGUAAGAAGUGAAUAACUUGUGAGACUAUUGGAACUUUGCGAAUGAGACUUGCCAUUUUCAUUAAGGAAUGAGGUUAACUAAGCCGUAAUAACCAACUUACCUUGGGUUUGGAGGGAUAUAAGUAGUAGAAUUUAUACAGCAUCUCAAUCUGAGUGCAGAAGCAGUAAGAAUACCGAUGCUUCCGUCUUUAAAGCUCGCAUAUAUUGAUUGGCCAUUGCAUAAAUAUGUAGCAUCUAUGAUUGUGCCGCUAGCUUCUCGAGGAACCUACUAGUUGCAAUGAACAACCACUUAGUCUUGGCCACUCCGCGUCACGCCCCGAACCUCGAGCGCGCCAACAUCCCACUAUGGUCAUGCAAAUGCGACAUUCUCAAGUAGUGUCGCCGACCCCAUUCACUUCUUAUUGCACAAGCAGAACGUAUAAAACCCCUAACAAUGAAAUACGGGAUAGAAAAGCAUGAAGCAAAACCACAACAUAAUACUUUCACAAUUCAACAGAAUUACAAACAGAGGUCUAUGGCCAAAAGGCUACAAAAGACCGGCUCUUAAAAAGGAACUGUCCUACGACCUACAAGCCGGACAUGUUCUCCAAUCCUUAUGACUUCGCCUCUGCAUCUCCUCAAGCCAACCAAAGUUAUCUGCCCGCUCCAUCCACCAGGGACCUGAAAUUUUAAUCCCACAACCGAGAUGAGACAAUGUCUCAGCAAGUUCAACCCCCUAAACCCCUAUUAGAAAGUAGGGGUGUGCAUUGGACCCGGGAACCGCCCGGACCGCCCGGAACCGGACCGGAACCGCCCGGAACCGGCGUUUCUUGAGGGAACCGGUCCGGUUCCCGGGUCCAAUUGUUGAGAACCGGUGGGAACCGGUCCGGUUCCCGGUUCCGUGGGCGGAUCCGCCCACCCGCCCACCCGGACUGGACCGGUACUAUUUAUAAUUUAAAAAAAAAAAGUCGCGAAGCCCCCUGCCCCUAAUUCGCGAAGCCCUAAUUCGCGUUUCUUCUUCUUCAGCGUUCAAUUCUCUCUAUUCCUUUCCUUCUCUUCGUCUUCGAUUCCACGGUUCCACCCCGAGUAUCCAUGCCGCCGCCACUGCUCCUCCUCCGCCACUGUCCGCCCCCUCGCGCCGGUCACCACUCGCCACAACCGCUGCUCCUCCGCCUCUGCAAGAACUCUCACCGAGCCGGCGAGCCCCUUUUCCGUCACUCAACAAGGUACGAAGCCCUAAUUCGCGUCUCAUCUCUUGAUUCUCUUCCGAUUUCUUCCUCAGUCUUUGAUUAUCUCUCUGUUUCUUCCUCAAUCUCUUCUCCUCGUCUUCGAUUCCUCACCAAGCAUCCACGCCGCCGCCGCUGCUCCUCCUCCGCCACUGUCCACCCCCUCGCGCCGGUCGCCACUCGCCACAACCGAUGCUCCUCCGCCUCUGCUGUCCGCCCCCCUCGUCGACACUCAGUCCCUUCGUCUUUCAUUCCUCCCUGAGCCUCGACGCCGCCGCUGUUGCUCCUCUGCCACUGCUGUCCGCCCCUUCGCAUUUGUGCAGGUGAUUUAAUUGUCUAUAGCCUUGUAUAGUAAUGAAAGACUUGCAAUUGUAGUACCCUGUUGAUUUGCUUCUCCCUCCAGCGGCUCUCUGGCGUGGAAAGGAGCUUUGCUUCAACCAAAAUUGUUUCGCUGUUGAAAACCAGAAUUUUUGGCGUCAAAAUCGGUUCCAUGGAUCCACCCGGGAACCGGACCGGACCGGCGGUCCGGUUCCCACGUGGAUCCAUGCAAUAAACGGGUGGAUCCCGGUUCCGAUUUUUCGGAACCGGUCCUUAGCGGGCGGUUCCCGGUUCUAGGUCGGGAACUGCCCGCCCGGACCAUGCACACCCCUAUUAGAAAGAAAAUACGCCCCGGGUGGCCUAGCCACAUCACACCGAAGACUUACCUUGCAUUAGUCUUCAUCUGCAGAUUAGCACAAUUUAUAUAAUUCAACCACGUGCAAUUAUGAUAACCAAACGACUGAGGCACAAUCACAUUAUCAGAACAAUUCAACCACUUGGAUCAUCUCAGCGAUCAAUUGACUCGGUCAAUUACAUGUCAUUCUAGCAAAUCAAUCACUGCUUCUAAUCACAACCCUAUAGGAAGGUUUAACAAUCAGUGGCAAUCACGGCCCCACUCGGCAUGACCUUUAAUUAGGUGGUAGAUCUCGGCCCGAUGGGCACGACCUCUAAUAGGUAGUCAAUCACGGCCCCAUUGGGCACAACCUUUAAUAGGUGGUCAAUCACAGCCCCAUUGGGCACGAUCUUUAAUAGGUGGUCAAUCAUGGCCCCAUGGGGCACGACCUCUAAUAAGUGGUCAAUCACGGCCCCAUUGGGCACAACCUUUAAUAGGUGGUAAAAUACGAUCGUUCUUCCAUCAAAUUUUGACACUUGGGAUUUUAUGAAAAGAAUCCCUAUUUAUCGCAAUCACAGUCAAUUUGCCACAACAAAUCAUCAAUUUCAAAUUCUAAAUGCACAGCAGCAAUCAACACGAAAUUCUAAGCAACCGGGGUCAAAAAUAAUUUUUCCGUUUUUUAAUAAAUAAUAAUAUUUUAAUAAUUUCAAAAUAUAGUAUAAUAUUAUAAAUUCCAUAAUUUCGAAACAAUUAAAUAAUUCAAAAAUAAAACCUUAUUAUGUCCCAUCAAGGCUUAUUAUUAAAUAACUCUAUUAGCCUUAAUUAAACACACUUUAAAUUAAACAAACUUCUUAAUCCAAAUCACAAUUAAAUAAACUAAACUAUCCACCUAAACUUGCUUAACUUAGACUAAGCACACUUAGGGCAUCAUUAACCGUCUAAUCAAGAUUUAGUGAGCUAAACUCACCCGAUCAACGAACCGUGCGGACCAAAACGACGGGGACGCCGAGGGGAACAACUUCCUUCAAAGCGGGCCAAGCAUUUGGGACCGGGAAGCCGGCCAAAAUGGGCCAAAACCAGGCUGCUAUACCCAUUUUCUGCAACCCUCUGUCCGCGGCUGGUUGAGGCGAAUCUGGGGCUGAGAUGGCGAGGCAAGGCCGGCAGAGGACAAGCGGGGCUCCGGUGAGUCGAGGUGGUGGUGUACGGUGGCCGAAGGGAGCUCCGGCAGCUCCUGCGCGAGCUGAAUAGCAGCUCGGGACGACGAGCUGGGCGAGAAGACAACCAAGACGCACGGCCAGCAGCGGCACGCGAGGACGGCAGCUCGGCAGCGAGACGACGCGAGGUAAGGACGGCGUGCGGCAUGCGACGGCUCCCGACAACGUCAGCUGCUGCUUCUGCCCAACGUCCUACCAGAUCUAAUAUCUCGAGCAGCGGACGGAGGGGGAGAAAGAAGGCAGAGCAGCACACACGCGGGCGAGCGGAGCGGUAAACGGCAGACGAACGGCGACGGUGAAGCCUCCGGCGAACGAGCGUGCGAGCGAGCAAAGGGGCUGCUCCAAUUUCUUCUCUGCGUUUUUCUGGUCUUCGCACCAUGAAGAUGGAGGAGAGAGGCGACGGGAGAGAGGGAGGGAGGAGAGAGAAGGAGAGAGAGAGAGAGAGAUGGGACCCUUCCUUUUUUUCUUCUUCUUUUUCUUUAAUCCAACAAAAAUGGCACACCAUGACAUCAUCAAGUGAUGUCAUACUCCACUAACUUCAAAUCUCCCACAACAAUCUUCAAUGGUUGCAAUUCCAUUUUCUGCCGGGGCAUAAAAUCCUAUACAACAAUUUCUUCAAUUCCACUUGAUUCUCUUCCAAUUGAAUCAAAUUGAAGUUCAUAAAAUUAAUCCAAUGUCACCACACUUCAAUUCACAUCUUCACUUGUCCAUAGAACCAACUUAAGUCCUAAAAGCAUGACCAAUGAUGGGCCUACUAAUUUCUCAAGCCAAAUUAGCUAUUCUCUUAUUUAAUUGCUGAAAAACUCUAAUUACAUGAAAAAUCUUCCAAAGACGAGUCAAUGAUUCUAAAAUGAUUUGUGACACGCCAUGACUUCCAAUUUCUGAAUUCGAUCUCAAUUCCACGGUUAAUUUCACUUUGGCACGAUACUAGCGCGACCCAACCUACCGGGUAGCCUUUAGAAAUUUUUCAUGCAUUUGACAUGUGGUUGAUCAAUUCAAGCCACAAUGUACAUCUUUGAGACAUUGGUGACUUUCGAUUGUCGGGGUGAUCUCAAGGUUUCAAAUACGACCCAAUCGGUAGAAAAGUCGGUCCAAUGCCGAUCGACAAGAAUUAUGCGAUCUGGUGGAAUCACUCACACCUGAUCACAUGCCUCUGUCGAGUCGACCUAUCUCCGAUCUCUAAUCGAUUUUUAAUUGUGCCGUAAUGACCCUUGCAGAUUAACUCGGUCGAAAGGUCGUUUCCUAGUCAAAUUAUCGGGUCCGAUGCAUAAGAAUUUCUUAACGGCUUCACCUGAUAGACUAGUUUUCACAUGAGUGGCCGACUCAAGAAAAAGAACUAUAUGCGUGCCAACGAAAUGCCCGUCUCAAUUUAUUGAAAAUAGAAUUGGAAAAUCGGGAUGUCACACUCCGGCUGGCCCGCAAGCCAAAACCCAGUCAAUUGGUGAUUCAACGUGGCUAAAACUCUCUCGGACCUCAUUUCUUUGAUCAAUGCGAUCUCUUUAUUUACAGGACUUGGCCUCUUGACAUGAUCAAAUUCAUUUCUCUCUUCGUAUUUCCCCUCUACAUCAUCAGCCACUGCCCUCCUGUCUCUUCUCAACCACUGAAAACUUUACCUUCUCCUUGAGAUACAUAGCAUAGAAACUCACGAAACUCGAGUGUUCCCCUGAAUUCGAGUGCGCCUCACCCUGGAACUACAACAUGUUGAGUAGUCGCAUCUUGUAGCAAGAAGUGAAGAUGAUCUCAUCUUCGAAACUAGGCUGCCCAUCGACCACUAUCCGGUGCACGAGUAGGAGGGCCUUGAGGGCCACCAUCCAAUCGCGUGUCUUGCUCAGCUGCCUCAAGAUCAAGGCAAUACAAGUGUCGAGGUAUGCUUUGGAGUGCGCGAUAAAGGCAAGGAUCUCCUUGACGUGCCUCUCGUCUGUGGGGUCCUCGUCAUGGCUGGUGGCCUUCACCACUAAGAUCUCGAGCUUCACCGCCAAGUUGUUCGAGACCUUGGCUGUCACGCCCCGAUCCUCCGAGCACGUGCCCAUCUCUCAGCGGUCGAUUAAAUAGCGACAUCUCCGGACGUGUCGCCAACCCAUCCUUUUUUUUUAAUGCGCAUGCGGAAGCAAAUUACUAAUCCCUUGACCAUAACAAGCGUGUGAUAGAAAAGCAGGAUAACAAAUUUCAAAUCAACACAUUAUGAAAACCACAAUCGAGUUUAUAAACAUAGGCCAACUCUAGGGUCUAAGUACAGGAAGCCUAUCUUCAAAAAGAACUUUUGAGCCAUCCAUGCUCUUGACCAUUCUGCCUCAAGCUCUGGGUUAUUUGCCCUAGGGACCUGAAAAUGUUAUCCCACAACGGGGUGAAACAGCAUCUCAACAAGUUCACUCCUUAAGACCCGACUAGGAAGAAAAUACGCCCUAAGGGCUGUCUAAGUACAAACACAAGUCAGAGGACUUACCGUGGCAUCAAUUCCUUCAUGCAAGUCAAUAUCAUUCAUAUGACCAUCCAAUCAUUUCAACCAAUCAGAUCGACGCAUCGAUCAAUCAACUCAAUCAAUUUCAUGUCAUCGAGACCAUCCGCCAGUCAUCUCAAUCAAUACUAUCUAUAAAGUCCGAUCAUAAUCAAGACUGCCCACUCUAAGCUGAUAAUAGAUAGUAUAGCUCACUAGAAGCUGCCAAUAGAUAGUAUACUAAUAACGCUCACCAGAAGCUGCCAAGUACACCGAUAUAGUAUACUAAUAAUGCUCAUAGCAGAAGCUGCCAGGUAUAUUGAUAUAAUAUACUAAUAAUGCUCACUAGAAGCUAUUAGGUAUACUGAUAUAGUAUACUAAUAAUGCUCAUCAAAAGCUGCCAGGUAUAUUGCUCCUAAGCAAACAUAUUGCCCGCAGGCUGAUAUAGUAUACCGGUACACUGCUUGUCCUAAACUAACAUAUCAGAGCCUGUAAGUUGAUAUAGUAUACCAUCUUGAUCAUAUAACCUUUUCACCAGUUUUAUCAUACUCGAUAAAAAAAAUAAUCGUAUGCGGGUACACGGUCAGCCUUAGCUAAAAUACAAUUUUCUACCGCUUGAAAAUCCCACCAAUUUUAACAGUUCACAAAUCCAUUUUUGGCAUUGUAAACCGAUGCCCGGUGAUUUUUUAAUUAAUUAUUGAAAUUAAAUAAAUUUUGGAAUAAAUCCCAAAAAUACAAAUCACACACAAUCAGCACAAAUUUAGAACUCAAUUAAAUAAAUAGAUCACACUGUUGCAAUCAACAUAAAAUUCCGUUACCAACUAUCCCGGUCUAAUUUCUAGAAAAUAAUUAAUUAAUUAUGGAAAUUAAUUAUUAAAUACUAAAAAUGCACACUUAAGCCCGUAACGCCUAAAUAAAAGCCGAGAUAGGUCCGAAAAAUUUUAAAACCACUCUAGAUAAAUAAUAGAGCUUAUCUAGGCUCUAAUUACACUACUCUAACCACCUAACAUGCAGUAACGGUUAAUUAAAUUGCUAAUCUAUUCUAAAUAUUCACAUAAUCCAUACUUAGUCUAAACUAAUCAACCCUUAAACAUAAUUAACUUACUAAGUAUGGAUUAGUGAGUUAAACUCACUGGAUUAACGAUCCGACUGGACCACGACAACGGCAACGCAACGGCGGCCGAUAAACUCCGAAGCGGUAGCACCAACGGGGGCCCAGAUCAGGCCGAAAUCGACCAUGCAAGUCUUAGCCACAAACUAGAAAACUGGUUCUAUUCUGGCUCAGUUAUGGAACUGCUGGUCAGCUCGGCUUGAGCUGGUCUCGGCUCGGUUACAGGCUAGGCUGAGCGAACUUCGGCACAGCUGAUCGGUGGUAGACGCGGGAUGGGCUAAAGUUCACGGACUCCACCGUGAAGGACGACCGGCGAUGGCUUCAAGCGAGAAGGACGCAGGCCGAAUGUGCAUGGGCUUCGGUGGUCUUGAAUCUGCAGCGAGAUGGAGAAUAUGUUAACCAUAGACAGUGAAGCUGGCGACGUGUGGCAACGAGUGAGCGAACAGGCAGCUUUGAUGGAGGAAAAAUUAAAAGAAAGCAGAAGCAGCCAGGUCGAGCGAGCUGCACGCUUGAAGAAGAAAGGAGGGAGGAAAGAGAAGUGUCAGCUGGUGGGGCCUUCACGCGUGAGUGGUGAGAGAAAAGGGAAGGAGAGACAUGCGAAGGAGGGGGAAUGAAUAAGGAAGAGGGAAGUGUCGGCAGAGAGAGGGAGAGAGUGAGUGUUGUGCGGAGAGAGAGAGGUGCGCGAGAGACGUGAGAGAGAGGGGAACCGAAGGAAGGGGAGGGAAAAUUAAAUAAAAAUCUCAUAUACUUAUCCAAUCUUGAUCCCACAACUUUCAUGCACAAAUUCCUUUUGUUCCUUAACACAAUCUUGAUCGAUAAUUCCACAAAUAGCCAAGUUGAUGUCCAUAAGUCGCAACCUUCACAUUGACCCUCAAAUUUUACAAAUAAAGCUUCAAUUCCUUCAUCAAUUCUCCAAUCCGAUGUCCAAUUGGAGACCAAAAUAAGAUAGUCCCUCAAACCUACGAAUUUCCCUCAAUUCCGAAUUAUAUUUCCUUUUUCUCAGAAUCUAAUUUCUAAACAAACCUCUCCGAUUGAGAUCAAAUUUUGUUGAAGAAAAAGCCCAAACAACUUCCUUUUACCAAGUAAUUCACACAUGAGGCCAAAAUCCCUUCAAUUUGGCCAAUCUGAAUUUCUGUUCAUUUUCCGAAUCGUCCAAACCGAUUUUCCGUAAAAAUCCCAAACUCGCCAAAAAUUCCUCAAAAGAUGAGUCGAUGUUCCUAAAAUAAAUUGUGACAUGACAAAAAUUUCAAUUUAUGAAAUUGGGUUCAAAUUCGCGGUUAAUUUCAAUCUGGUGCGAUUUUAGCAUGACCUAGCCUACCAUGUAGUUUUCAGAAAUUUUUAGCGCAAUUGACCUAUGGUUGACUUUCUUCGAGCCAUAAUGAACCUCUUCGACACAUUGGCGACUCUCGGUUGUCGUCAAAAUCUCAAGGUUUCAAAUACGGACACAAGGCGCCAAAACGAUAGAAAAAUUAGUCUAGUGCCAAUCGACGAGAAUUUUGCAAUUUAGUGGAAUCACCCACAUUUAGCCAUACAUCUCAGUCGAACCGACCUAUCUUUGAUCUCUGAUCGAUUUUUAACUGUGCCGUAAUGAUCCUUGCAGACUAGCACGGUCGAGCAGUCGAUUCCUGAUUGAAUUCUCAAGUCUGUUGCGUUUAUAUUCCUUAAUGGCUUCACCCGAUAGGUUAGUGAUCUCGUAAGUGGCCACCUCAGAGAAAAGCACUAUGGUCGAGUUGAUGAAAGGCAUGACUCAUUCAAUUGAAAAUAGAACCGAAUUUUCAGGAUGUCACAUUGGCUAUGUCGAUGCUCGUCUGGUCCUUGACGGCCCCAAUCGCCUUUCGGAUAGUACUAGGCGCCAUCGAACACAAAGACAAGUACCCGAUCGAAGUGCGUCUUUGCUCAAAUUUCUCAAGAACAAACUAUCAAAAAGCUUGAAGAAAAUGGAGGACGAAAUAUGUGGAAUGAUGGUGGAGGAGAUGUGAGGAUUAAGAUGAGGUUGAAGACAUGGAAUUUCAAGGUCUACAUGUCAAAGGUCGAAGGGAAAUAACGUGUUUGGUGUGGAAGUUCAAAAGGAGGGAACCGCGUCAUAAGGUCGAAGGGAGAUAACUUGUUUGGUGUGAAAGUUUAAAAGGAAGAAACCGCGUCAUUAAUGUGCUCGUAGCACCAAAGGAAUGGGGAAAGGAGAAAGCCAUGCUAUAUACCCCUCUACCAUGAUUCUAAACCUUCAGACAUCCUAAAAGCUAUUAUUAGUCUCCCUCUCUAGCCUCUGGCCACUAUGUCACCUAUGUUGGUGUCAUGCAUAGCCUAAGGUUUACAGAUCAUGUAGAUCAUAUCGUUUGGAUCAUUAAUCAUGUGGGUCUCGUCAUCAACUUACCUGAUUUUUCUCUUAAGCAAAAUCAAGGUCAUCGACCUCUGGAUAGAGAGACGAUAGAGAAAAGAUAAGCAAAUGAAAGGAUUGUAUGGUCUUCUCUAAUUGAGAAGGUCUCAAUAUGCCAAGAGUAAUCUCUUUCAACUGUGUAAUUGUUACUUUUUUUUUUUCCUCUUUUCCUCAAUGAAUUUUGUGCUCCAUAAAAAAGGAAAAAAAAAAGGAGAAAAAAUUUGUUAUUGGCAAUUUGACAUAGCGUAAUGGUGCAAGAAUGUUUUGUGAAGCUGAAACUCUUGGGAAAAAGGUCGGUUCUUAUGCAUAAAAAAGAAAAAAAUCAAACUUGACUGCCCGCUUUAAAACUAGUCUUGAAGACUAACUUGUCCUAAUUUGACGUGGUACUUGGAAACUAGGCUUUUACCCUGAACCAGGCUCUCCGAGAAAAGUUUCAGCAUUCUCGUUUUCUUCUCUCAAUAAUGCAUGUUUUCCUUGAGGAGUUCAUUUUUUUCUCAAAAUUUUUGUUAGGUCUUCACAUAAUCUGAUCUUAGCACAGAAAGAAAGAGAUUGAAAAUAAACAGGGAAAAAGAACGCUUCAAGUGCCAUAACUUUGGCCAAAUGGACACUUAAGUGCCAUAACUUACGAAAGGUACACUUAAGUGCCACAUUCGAAAAAAAACGGAUCACUUGAGUGCCACUCCGGCCAAAUUCCGGCCAAAACGCCAACGUGGCGUUUUUCCGGCGAAGCGUGCCCAAAAUGACGUCGUUUUGCACGCUGACGUGGCCAAAACGGCGUCGUUUUGGGCUGACGUGGUAAAAAAAAAUUAAAAAAUUCAUUAAAUUAAUUUUAAAAUUAAAUUUAGUUAAAAUAUUUAAAAUUAAUAAUUUUAAAAAUAAAUUUAAUUAAAAUAUUUAAAAAUAAUAAUUUUAAAAUUAAAUGUAGUUGAAAUACUAAAAAAAUAAUAAUUUAAAAUUAAAAAAAAAGUGGGGGAAGCGGCUAAGGGAUUAGCCCUCAGCCGCCGCCGCCGCCGGGAAAGGCCGGCGACGGCGGGNNNNNNNNNNNNNNNNNNNNNNNNNNNNNNNNNNNNNNNNNNNNNNNNNNNNNNNNNNNNNNNNNNNNNNNNNNNNNNNNNNNNNNNNNNNNNNNNNNNNNNNNNNNNNNNNNNNNNNNNNNNNNNNNNNNNNNNNNNNNNNNNNNNNNNNNNNNNNNNNNNNNNNNNNNNNNNNNNNNNNNNNNNNNNNNNNNNNNNNNNNNNNNNNNNNNNNNNNNNNNNNNNNNNNNNNNNNNNNNNNNNNNNNNNNNNNNNNNNNNNNNNNNNNNNNNNNNNNNNNNNNNNNNNNNNNNNNNNNNNNNNNNNNNNNNNNNNNNNNNNNNNNNNNNNNNNNNNNNNNNNNNNNNNNNNNNNNNNNNNNNNNNNNNNNNNNNNNNNNNNNNNNNNNNNNNNNNNNNNNNNNNNNNNNNNNNNNNNNNNNNNNNNNNNNNNNNNNNNNNNNNNNNNNNNNNNNNNNNNNNNNNNNNNNNNNNNNNNNNNNNNNNNNNNNNNNNNNNNNNNNNNNNNNNNNNNNNNNNNNNNNNNNNNNNNNNNNNNNNNNNNNNNNNNNNNNNNNNNNNNNNNNNNNNNNNNNNNNNNNNNNNNNNNNNNNNNNNNNNNNNNNNNNCCUCCCUGUAAAGGAUCCGGCGAGGGUCGGCGGCCCUCGCCCGGUCGGGCCAAGGGCCGCCGCCCGCCGGGGCGACCCCCGGCGACCCCGGCCGACCCUCGCCCCGCCGUCGUCGGCCCUUCCCGGCGGCGGCAGGGCGGCGGCGGCUGAGGACCUGCCCCCCUUUCCUUUUUUUUAAUUUUUUUUUAAAAAAAUUAAUUUUUUUAAUUAUUAAAUUUUUAAUAUUUCAACUAAAUUUAAUUUCAAAAUUAUUAUUUUAAAAUAUUUUAACUAAAUUUAAUUUUAAAAUUAUUAUUUUUAAACAUUUUAAAUAAAUUUAAUUUAAUUAUUUAUUUUAUUUUAUUUUGUUUGCCACGUCAGCCAAAACGAACGCCGUUUUGGCCACGUCAGCGUGAAAAACGGUGUUGUUUUGAGCUCGGUUCAUCGGAAAAGUGCCACGUCGACAUUUUAGCCGGAUUUUCGCCGGAUUGGCACUCAAGUGAUCCCUUUUACUCCGAUUUUGGCACUUAAGUGUACCUUUCGUAAGUUAUGACACUUAAGUAUCCCUUUGGCCAAAGUUAAGGCACUCCAGGGGUCCGCGUGUCAAAUAAACAGUGAGUUUUUUAGUCUUCACAUAAUCAUAAUUUUUUCUUAGCUUGAAAUGCUCAACAUUCUAGUUGUAAUAACUUCACAUGAGUCCAAACUUUUUCUCAUCGCACAAUCUAGUAUUCCUAUAUUAAAGUAAAUGUCUCGACUUUUGCUAUAUGGUUUGAUAUUAAGAUUUUCUAUAUCAGAUCACAUGAUUUUUGCUGAAGUCGAUGUUUUGAUUAGGUGAAUGUAAUGAAGUAGAUAGUCUCCUCAUUCUUCCAAUGAAAUACAUAAGAAGAAAAACUCCUCCACCUCCUCACCCUCUUCCUCUUAGCAUUAUUCUCGCCAAAGACGUCAACCCUUGUGCCUUGCCACCAACCCAAAACUAGGGGAGAAGUACACUAAUGGUGCCAUAAGUUGUGUACGGCGCUCACUUUGGUGCCAAAAGUUUCCGUCGGAUCACUUAAGUGCUAAAUCGGAGGAAAAACAAUCACUUUGGUGCCACUGACGAGAAAUUCCAGCCAAAAUAAUUACGUGGCAUUUAUAUUUAAAAAAAAAUCUAUGUGGCUUAAGAUUGUCCACGGUGGAUAGCAUAAAACGACGCUAUUUUCCUUUCUUCGUAAGAAACGACGUCGUUUCUUACCAUCCACCGUGGAUUCACAUAAGAAACGACGUUGCCUUGCUCCAUAGCAAAAAACGAUGUCAUUGAAGAGGGAGUAAAAUAGGGUUCGUAUACGGUUCUCCUCGACGCCGGCCGUAGCUUGCUCACCCACCGUCGUUCACCCACCGCCGUUCGCUCGCUCGCCGUUCGCUCGCUCGCCGUCGCUCGCCCGCCGUCGCUCGCCCGCCGUCGCUCGCCCGCCGUUGCUCGGCCAUCGCUGUAGUUGCACCGUCGUUCACGAUCAUUCAGGUUUGUCAUGUUCUCUACAUGGAUCAAUUUUGCGAAAAAUUUAGGGUUCCGGCAAGCAAGUUAGGGCACGGAGGGCAAAUUGAGGGCUUCGCUCAGGGGGAAAGUAGUGGGAAAAGUGGUGGGGAUGUCACUUUUAUGGGGACGGAAUAGAAAAAUUGAUUCUUCCAUCGUUCGUUCGCUUUCUGUUGUGGGGACCAAAUAGAAAAACAGGGUGCGGAGGGGCUUGACUUGGAUGGAAACAGUGGUGGGACCGAAUUUGUUUGUUUAAUUAAUUGGAUUGCUUUUGUUGGGGACCGAAUGUGAAUGUGAUUAAAUUGAAAAAUGGGUGGUGGGGACCUCACUUUGUUUAUUUAAUUCGGUUUCUUUUGUUUCUGUAAAUGCACCGAAUUUGGGAGAUUUUAGUCGCAUUUGUUCCUUGACAACAAAACAACAAGGACCUACAUGUGAAGUUGCUGAUUCUGUCAUGUGUUUCCAACAAAACGAUAAUGACUCUUUUUCUUUUUUUUCAUUGGGUGCAGCAUCGACAUGGAAGCAAAUCAGGUAGGCAUCAUUAUUUGCUAUGGUGGAGAGUUUGUUAUUGGCACUGAAGAUUGGGAAUAUAGUGGUGGAAAUGAAGGUACUAUUUAUGUCAAUGUUUGGAAGCCAUCAUAUAUUGAUUUUAUGAGGGAUUUGGUAUAUUUUUUACGAUGCAAAGUGCAAAAACUACAUUACUGUGUUCCUGGCAAAGAAUUGAAGGAUGGGUUGAGAUUUUUUAAUGACGAUAAUGGUAUUAAGGAUAUCAUUUACCAUUAUCUUCACGGUGAAGAAGCUAAAGUAUAUGUUGAGAAUUAUAGUGAGGAUGAGGAUGAGGAUGGGGAUGAGCAGACCACCACUGAAGGAGGAGAAGUGAGGGAUCCUGUUCAAGCAAGUAAUCAGGUUGGGGAUGAGUUUAGGUUAGAUGGAGGGCAAAAUGAGAGGGAGAUAAGUCAUAUUGAUAGAGAUGAACAAAGAGGGAGAUGUCCUGAAAUCUUGGGUGAAGAUUUAGGUGAAGAUGUGGGCGAUGAAGACUUCAUUAGAUUAGAAUGGGAAAUUGCUUUAUCUAGUGAAUCGGAAGAUGAAUGUUUGGCUUUAGUAAAUUUCCCAAGUGACGAAGAUGAUGAUGAACCCGCACAGUCAAGACAAAAGCAAAGGGAAUUUCUGAGAAAAAAACUUGCAGCUUCAGCAAAAAGGCCCGAGCCAAUAAAUAGGGAUAGAGAUCCAGCUGAGGGUAAUAGAAGUGAAGAUGAAGAAAGCUGUGGCGAUGAAGUUGCUGGUUCGGAAAAUGAGCUUGACAAUGAUUAUGAAGAACCUGCUCCUCGAAGAAAAAGUAAGUACCCUUGCUAUGAUCCGACUGUUAAUAAACAUGUUUUGUCGGUUGGCAUGAGAUUUGAUGAUGCCAAACAAUUCAAGGAAGCUGUUGUGAAGAACUCAAUUGGUGAACAAAGGAGCAUUAAAUUCAUUAGAAACACGAAGGAGUUUGUGAGAGCUAAGUGCUCACAACCUAAUUGUUCGUGGAAGCUCUAUGUUGUGCUUAGUAAAAAUGGGUCAUUCCAAAUUAGGUCCUUUUAGGAGGAGCAUACUUGUCCAAUUAUCUUUAACAAUAAAAGGGUAACAAGUGUGUGGUUAUCAAAGCAUUUUUUCAAUACUAUCAAAGCAAUUACUGAGAUCAAGAGUCCUCAAUUUCAACAGUUAGUGAAGGAGCAAGUGGGGGUUAAUGUGUCGAGGAAUCAAUGUAAGAGAGCGAAGAUGAGGGUGAUGAAGAUAUUGAUGGGUGGAUAUAAGGAAGAAUAUGCGCAGGUAUGGGAUUAUGCUGGUGAAUGUAUGUUUUAAAACCCAUCUAGUAGGGUAUAUGUAGAGGUUGUGGAGAGGCCACUCCCUGAUCUUAGGCCUAGAUUUGAUAGAUUUUAUGUCUGUUUUGAUGCAUGCAAACGGGGCUUCUUGGCUGGUUGUAGAAGAGUUAUAGGAUUGGAUGGGUGCUUUCUAAAGGGUUUAUGCAAGGGGGAGUUGUUGGCUGCUGUGGGGAGAGAUGCCAAUAAUCAAAUGUUCCCGAUAGCUUGGGCAGUGGUAAAGAUAGAGAACAAGGAUAUUUGGUCACGGUUCCUAAAAAAAUUAAUGGCUGACCUUGAGAUAACCGAUGGGGGAGGAUGGGCAUUCAUGAGCGACCAACAGAAGGUAAUUUUAUUGUCAAUUAAUUCACUCCCUUUUAAUAUUAGUCACUUGCAUAAUUUUCUUGACUUGUAUUUAUUGGUUUGAAUUUUUGUAGGGACUUAUUUCUGCAUUGGCUGAAUUGAUUUCACAUGCUGAGCAUAAAAUGUGCGCGAGGCACAUAUAUGCAAACUGAUCAAGGAACUUCAAAGGAGAUAGGCUUCAGAAUCAGUUCUGGCAGAUAGCAAAGAGUACGAAUAUGGCUGAUUUCAGAUUAGCCAAACAAGGAUUGUUGCAGCUGACAAAGGAAGGUUUUAAUGCACUCUUCCAGACAGAAGCUAAGCACUGGUGUCGGGCCUUCUUCGGCGAAUAGUUCAAAUGCGAUAUCAUUGAUAACAACCUCAGUGAAGCUUUCAAUGGUAGAAUUUUAGAGGCCAGGUGCAAACCAAUCAUUAGCAUGCUUGAUGAUAUUCGAGUUAUGGUUAUGACUAGACUGCAUAGGCAAAGAGAUGAGGCUACAAAAUGGAGUAGAGACUGUGGCCCUAGGAUUGUGAAGAGAUUGGAUGCAAAUAUUGCUGCUAAUAGGUUCUGCCAUCUAGUUUGGAAUUGAGAUAAUGGAUAUGAGAUUAUUCAAAAUCAGAAUAAGUAUGUUGUCAACCUGGAUAGAAGAAAGUGUUCAUGCCGAGCCUGGAAAUUGAAUGGAAUUUCCUGUGCCCAUGCCAUUUGUGCUAUUCAGAUGAAGCAAGAAAACCCAGAUGAUUACCUACAUGAUUAGUACAAAAAAAGCUCAUACCUCGCUUUAUACCAAUUCAUGAUGCAGCCUAUCAGAAGCAGCAAAUUUUAGGAGCCAACAAAUCAUGAAAGCCCUCUACUUUUACUGCUGAAGAAGCAAAUAGGAAGGCCAAAAAAGAGACGAAGAAUGCAACAGGAAGAGGCAUCAAGUCAAAGGAUGAGUAGGACUGGAUCAAAGAUGAAAUGCUCCUAUUGCCGCAAGGAAUGACACAAUAAGAAAGGNNNNNNNNNNNNNNNNNNNNNNNNNNNNNNNNNNNNNNNNNNNNNNNNNNNNNNNNNNNNNNNNNNNNNNNNNNNNNNNNNNNNNNNNNNNNNNNNNNNNNNNNNNNNNNNNNNNNNNNNNNNNNNNNNNNNNNNNNNNNNNNNNNNNNNNNNNNNNNNNNNNNNNNNNNNNNNNNNNNNNNNNNNNNNNNNNNNNNNNNNNNNNNNNNNNNNNNNNNNNNNNNNNNNNNNNNNNNNNNNNNNNNNNNNNNNNNNNNNNNNNNNNNNNNNNNNNNNNNNNNNNNNNNNNNNNNNNNNNNNNNNNNNNNNNNNNNNNNNNNNNNNNNNNNNNNNNNNNNNNNNNNNNNNNNNNNNNNNNNNNNNNNNNNNNNNNNNNNNNNNNNNNNNNNNNNNNNNNNNNNNNNNNNNNNNNNNNNNNNNNNNNNNNNNNNNNNNNNNNNNNNNNNNNNNNNNNNNNNNNNNNNNNNNNNNNNNNNNNNNNNNNNNNNNNNNNNNNNNNNNNNNNNNNNNNNNNNNNNNNNNNNNNNNNNNNNNNNNNNNNNNNNNNNNNNNNNNNNNNNNNNNNNNNNNNNNNNNNNNNNNNNNNNNNNNNNNNNNNNNNNNNNNNNNNNNNNNNNNNNNNNNNNNNNNNNNNNNNNNNNNNNNNNNNNNNNNNNNNNNNNNNNNNNNNNNNNNNNNNNNNNNNNNNNNNNNNNNNNNNNNNNNNNNNNNNNNNNNNNNNNNNNNNNNNNNNNNNNNNNNNNNNNNNNNNNNNNNNNNNNNNNNNNNNNNNNNNNNNNNNNNNNNNNNNNNNNNNNNNNNNNNNNNNNNNNNNNNNNNNNNNNNNNNNNNNNNNNNNNNNNNNNNNNNNNNNNNNNNNNNNNNNNNNNNNNNNNNNNNNNNNNNNNNNNNNNNNNNNNNNNNNNNNNNNNNNNNNNNNNNNNNNNNNNNNNNNNNNNNNNNNNNNNNNNNNNNNNNNNNNNNNNNNNNNNNNNNNNNNNNNNNNNNNNNNNNNNNNNNNNNNNNNNNNNNNNNNNNNNNNNNNNNNNNNNNNNNNNNNNNNNNNNNNNNNNNNNNNNNNNNNNNNNNNNNNNNNNNNNNNNNNNNNNNNNNNNNNNNNNNNNNNNNNNNNNNNNNNNNNNNNNNNNNNNNNNNNNNNNNNNNNNNNNNNNNNNNNNNNNNNNNNNNNNNNNCAUGGUCUUUUUUCAUGUUUUCUUUUUUUAGGAGUGUGCUGGAUAUUAUAUCAUUGAUGGUAGUUGUUGCCUGCAAUGCCAUUGUUUUUUUUAAGAGAGUGUUGAACUUUCGAUGAUUGGGGAGUGAAGUUAGACAUGCUUUUCUUUUCUUUUGUAAACAAUCAAUCAAUGUUAAUGGCAAGUACUGAAAUGACUAUUCAUUUUCUGCUGUGUUGGUUUCGGCUAGAAUGCUAGCAAGUCAGUUAUGCUGCUGUAUAUUUUAUUUUUGCUGUUACUGCAAUGUUGUUGUUGCUACACUGUUGCUGUCAGCAUUGUUGGUUAAAGUUGUGGAUUAUAAUGAAUUUGUGGGGUUCUGAUUAUAUGUGUUGCUACAAGAACACUUUGGGUGCUGGUACAUCUUGUUGCAUCUGGACUGGUGUAAGAAGAUGCACCAGCAACUCAACUGGUGCAAGAACAAGGUGCAUUUGGAAUGUGACGUUGGCACUAACAUGUUCUUUUUUAAAAAACUUGUGCAACAUAAGUGAUCACUUUGUAAUCGCGACUGGCACUUAAAUGAUCACUUUAUAAAAACUUGGCACUCGAGUGAUCACUAUUUACAACUUAUGGCAUUGAAAUGGUCAAUCAUGAAUUUGCCAUCAUCCUUUAAUUUUGGUCAUGGUUUGUAGUUGCAGCAAACCAGCAAACCAACAAACUAGCAAAUCAGCAAACCAGCGAACCAUUACCAAAUAAAAAAUGCAGCAAACCAUCAUCAAAUAAAAAAAUGCAGCAAACCAUUACCAAAAGCUUUCAAUACAGUAAACCAUUACCAAAUAAAAAAUGCAGCAAACCAUUACCAAACAAAAAAUACAGCAAACAAUUACUAAAAUUUUUCAAUGCAGCAAACCAUUACCAAAUAAAAAAUGCAGCAAACCAUUACCAAACAAAAAAAUGUAGCAAACCAUUACUAAAAACUUUCAAUGCAGCAAACUAUUACCAAAUAAAAAAUGCAGCAAACCAUUAUAUUUGAAGCAAAAACUAACCACCCAUAGAUUACAACAACAAAACAUUCUGCUCCAUACAAAAAUUGCAGCAAACCAAAAAACACAUUUUACUUAUAAAUAAUCAAAUACAAGUGCAUAUUCCACGUCUUCGACUAUGGUAGACAUACAAACUUCUUCUCAUUACUCACUUUACAUUUGAAUAAACUACCCAAGAGAAUAAGAACACAAUCAACACUCGAUAAAAGUUUCUUUCGAUUUUCAGCCUUGAAACCUCCCUCUUCAAAUGGUCCACCAGAGAUGUUAAAUCCUUCAUUUGAGCUUGCAUUGAGUCGACAUCCUCCAACUCGUCCAUUAACAUAGGUGGAGGUUGAUUUCGGUCUUCAAGUAACUCAAAUAUCACCUCUGUCACUCGAUCAGAGAAUUUCCUAUCAAUCCAUUUGAAAUAUUGGCACUUCGAGCCUUCUCUAUAUCUGCCGCACCCAUGGAAUCUUCUCCCGGGAUUCAACUGAGUCCAAGAUGUUCUUCUUGGACUCGGUAACCCACAAUAACAGUAAUACUCACCAUCUAAUUUGCUUUUCUUAUAGGAAUGUGAGCCGCUGCUUAAGCUUUUAUCCUCCAUUUGCAAGAGCGAGCUGAUAACUUUGGGAGAAAAUCGAAGUAUGCACUCGAAAUGAUCGAAUUGGGGAUUUAGGGUUUUCAACUUCCGGUUCUAAUCGAAAUUGGGGAUUUAGGGUUUCUUAUUUGGGGGAAAAUAGUAAACGGCAUCGUUUUGUUCUUUGUAUGCUGAUUGUAUUCUCCGGCAAUCCACGUCGGCAUCAAAAAUUAAUAAAAAAACCGCCACGUCGGAUUUCCAGCCAACCAAAUCGGCGAUUGCACCAAAAUGAUCGUUUUUCAAAAUUUUUGGCACUUAAGUGAUCCGACGGAAACUUUUAGCACCAAAGUGAGCGCCAUAUACAACUUAUGGCACAAUUAGUGUACUUAUCCCCAAAACUAGCGAUAGCAGUGUGGCUAUAGAUGGUGGCCGCUAAGUUUGGUUGCCGGUGGCAAUGGCAACAACUAUGGCGAAGGAAGGAGGAAGAAGAAAAACACGAAGGAAAGGAAAAAGAGAAAAAGCAAGGAAAAGGGAAGUUUUAUUUAUUUAUUUUUUUGUGUAGGGUUGGAAAUUGAUAAUGACUUAACUUUCCACAUCGUUGUUUGUGCCUAAGUCAGAUGGUUAACAUCAACAAAAUUAUAUGACAUGACACGACACGACACAAAAGUCUAACAUUAAGACAUUUUGAUAGUGGAGGUGUUUAAUUGAUCAAAAAAAAAAUUUAGUUAUUUGGACAUAAAUAAUAACUAUUUUGUUCUAAAAAUCAAUUUAUUUUUUCUAGAUAAGUUUCUAAAGCAAAAUAGGAUAUAAAAAAUCUAUUCGUAUUUGUUUGAUAAUGACAUAAAAUUUUCUCUUAUAAGCGGCGGCGAGCGGUGACUGGUGGGCGGGAGGUGAUCGACUAACAGUGGUGAGCAACAGUAGGUAGUUGACGAUGGGUGACCGGUGGUGGGCAAUGGGCGGGUGGGCGGCAAGCAGUGUCAAAAGCAAUCGAUAACAAGAGUUUUUAUUUUUCACUUUUAUUCAAAAAAUAGAAAAGUAAAAAUUUACUUCUAAUUUAUGUUCCAAAUAUAUUUUUGGAGUAAAAAUUUGUUCUAUAAAUAGAAAAAUAAAAUUACAUUAUCAAACGGAUUUAUGUUCCAAACUUGUUUCCGAAAAUAAAAAAUAAAUAAAUAAUAGAAAAUUAGAGUGAUUAUCAUGCGCGCUAUAGAUUGCAUAACUAGGAAGAAUUUGGGUACUUAUGGCAUCAAUGUUCUUAACAUGGACCUUUUGAGUAUGUUUAAUACAUCUUUUCUAUAGUUGCUACUAUUAUGUAAAGGUAUAUUGUACAUUCGGUAAAAAUUGCUCAAAAUUGCACCAUCCUCAAAACUUCAUUAAUUUAUAGUAGUUUUUAGAAGUUGUUUCACCCAGUUUCGAGAUGCUAUUUCAGUCACAUGACUUACAAAACAACCACGAUGUAGUACAACUGCGGCCAUUAGAAGUGAUUAGCCCACUCGUCCUAUGCAGACUUGACAUAAUGGGCGGGCUUAGAUAAUAUCCUUACGUUAAAAAAUCCUGGCUUGCCCGACCUUUGCCUGAGCAGUGCCCCAACAUUUCUAUAUAUGAUUCAUUUUAUGAGCGAGCUUGAGCAACACGUUAAUCCUAAUGUUGAUCCAAAUUAGGCCCGCAUAAUAAUCACCUAUAAUAGCAAUUUUUACUCCGAAUAACACUGGACUGCCUUUGCGGUUCAGUUUUAGAAUAUCUAAGAGUAUUCUAGCUUUUUUAGUCAUGUUUUGUUUGUAAGACGAAGCAAAAGAAAUAGAAUCCAUGACUAGGUCAAUUUAAGUUUUUAUCAUUUUUUGCUUUCUCAAUGUCUAUAGAAUUCAUUACCAAUGUUAAUCUGGAUACAUCAUCAUUUUAAUAAUAAAUGAGAAUGAGAUGAUUACAAAAUUAUUUCGUUCAUAAGCAAUCGCAUAACAUACUUCUUACCAUAAUUCACAUAAUUCUGGAUUUGCUCAAUCAAAAAGUAAUUUGUUAUCAAUGAAAACGGAUAACAAUCUAUGUAUGAUCAAUUUCAAAUUUAAUAUUUUUAAUUAUUUCGAACACUCGAAAUGAAUAAAAAAUGUCUAUUGUGUAAAUCUCAACUCAACAAGCAAUACCCAAUUCUUUUCAAAUUUCUCCUAAAUAAUUAUUGAAAAUAAGUUAGUUGCAUUAGACAAUAAAUUAUUCAUUUUGCACCAAUUAUGUUUUUUUUUUUUUUUUGUGGAAAGUAGCAACCUUUAUAAUUCCAGGAAGAAGGCGCGCCCAAUCCUCCUCUCCGUUCCCGCGAGUUUCUUCUCUCUGCUCCGCGGUACUGCCAUCUUCUCCAACUCGGGCGAUUCGACUCAGUCCAGCGAUCACAGCAAGCCGGAAGGGGAAAAGAUGUUCUUCCUCCGGGUCCACUCGGUGGACACCGACCACCCCCUUGCCACCGACUACGGCGGCUUCUCCUCCCGUCCAAUUCCAAGUAUCCUCUGAUCUUUAUCGGUAAUUACUCUUCAACUCAUUCAUCUUAGUAAAUAAGUUAUUAAGCAAGUAUAGAUGCAAGCAUGAAUGCUUGCAGGCAGACAAAAGUUGAAGCUGGGAUGCAGGUGAUGUAUAUGCACUAUGAUUAUACCAAACACUGGAACGAUAAAGAGGCUGCAUGAAUUGUGGCUGGCUAAUUGUGCAGUUUGCUUGUCCUAACAGCUGCAAUAAUUAAAGAUUUAAUGGAUCAAUAAUGGCCCUGAGGUUCAGUUGUUUUAGUUAAGUUUGUCAUGUAAAGUUUGACGCUAGUUUAGUGUGACAAAGGUGUUGAUGCUCUGUUGUCUUCUUAUUCAAGAGAGACCAUUUAGGGAAAUUUAACCUUCAAACCCGUGUUUGUAAGUUGAUAAUUUCACCAUGGUUUCCUAAUCAGUUCUUGGAGAAAAUGCUGACUCCAAGCAUCGAAUUCUAUGAUGUUCGUUUUGUAUCUGACUUAACUGACCAUGUCAUUUCUUUUCCUCCAUACUUCCUGGUCCAUAUAGAUUAAGCAAUUGUUACUUAGGGGGGAUGAUAGAUUUGCUGGUUGUGGGAAUUGCUGCUAAUGAUGGCGGAGACAUGUCUCAUGACUUUUAAAAGCUUGUCGAUAUAUAUGUAUUGUGUGUGCGCACGCGCACGCUUGUGUCUGAUUGUGUACCUUUGACCUUAAUAAUAAAUGUCCAAUAAUGUGGAUGUUGCUCUUUCAUUGAAAUGUCCCGCUAAUCCAUUUGGACUUUCUAUAUAAGACUGCAGAGGGGAAAGGAGUUUCCCUGUAGUGGACCUACUGCUGAAAUAGGCAUUAUUUGUUAUUCUCGCUAUUGUUCUUUUCUUGUCAGCAUUGUCUAAGCAUCAUUUCUAAUGGCAAUAUGCUUAAAGGAGGUGAUAUCUUCUUGCUUUCACUUCUGUAAAGAUUGGUUAUGGAGAAAAAUAAGACGAUGGUUCUGCUAGUUUUGAGAAUGAAAAAAUCAGAGGUUGUCUCAUACGUUUGAAUUUCAUAUACUGGGUCUUCAAUACGAUUUAGUUCUACUCUCUAUUUUUCUCAUGAGGUCUGUAUCAUCCAUUCAGGAGGUUGCCAAUGACAAUUGUGUCUACAGAAAUGAGAUACAUCGCUCUGUCAGGGAGCGCACUCAAGUUUUGCAGGAUGUAGCAGCAGAUCCAACUUUAGCUCGUACAAAAUCUGUACACUGUGCUCAAUGCAACCAUGGCGAAGCUGUCUUCUUCCAGGUGAAAUUGCUCAUACUGCACUUUGGAAUGAAAUUCUGCCAAUUUAGUUCUAUAUUUUGAAUCUUGGACUCUACAGACUGAUUCUGGAAUCUGAUCUAGAUAGCAGCAUCUCUUGAUUAUGGAUCUUGCAAAGGAAGGACUUGUAGUAGUUGUAAGAUGUGGUCUAUCUGUCUUUUGGAUACCUGGUGAAAUAAUAGCAUGUUGGAUCUCAUUACUCUCCUUAAUUAGGUUAUUUCCUUGAAUAAAUGCUAUGUUCAGAGAAAUUUCUUAUGGUUUUCUAAAAACUACACAUUCUUUGAAAAAUCCAAUGAGCAUGACUUGGCAAUGCCUGCAUCAAUCCGUCUCAUGUAUUUUGUGGAUUAAUAAGUCAUACAUCAAAUGGAUUAACUGCAAAAGAAGUGCCUUCUCACUGCACAUAUCUAAGGAACUCUUGCUUUGUGUUUGUGAUAUAUGAAUUCUUUGAGACUAGAAAAUGUUUUGAGUCGGUCAAUCAACCAAAUCACAAUCUUGACGGGCAGUGGUAGUGGUAAUAAUCCUUCACCCUUCAAGGAACAAGAGAGUGAUCCCCCACAGUAGAAAAUGGGGAUCUGUCAUUUGAUAUGGAAAGAAUGAAGAGUCGCUUCUGAUUUUGGCAUAUUUGAGAGGAGGCACCAGAAGAGGGGUUGCCGAUACAAAAAUUGUGUCCUAGAAAGCAGCUCUAUAAAGUUUAAUGGCAAUUAUCUCCUCAUUAGGUUCACUCUUCAUGUAUUGAAAAUUGAGAUGUGAUAAAUAUUGAAUGAGGAUUAAAGAGUGCAUAGUUGAGUUAGUAAAUAUAAGAAAAUGCAUGGUGAUUAUGUAUUUUUUAGACCCCUUGCCUUCUCUAAGGAAAGGCAGCAAAAUGGACGAAAGGAAUGGAAAAAUAUUCAGGAUCUUUCCAUAUCUAGGUCCUUCUGAUGGUUACUGUAGUCAUGGCUUAUGCCUCUCUCUGUCUGGCUGUAUAUGCUGACAAUCUCAUCUUUGUCAUUAUUCAGGCCACUGCUAGAGGGGAGGAAGGUAUGACACAGUUCUUCGUCUGCUGCAACCCAAAUUGUGGAUAUCGUUGGAGAGAUUGACAUCCACCGGGAUGCUUGAAUCUAACUCUGAUAAUGUUUCUUGGUGUUUGCUGAAAGAAACUAUCUGCUAACUCAUUGAUCUGGGUGCGGGGGACCUAAGAAUAUCCAUGUUGUGGUCCUAUUGUUUCCUGGAGCUGGUUCAGUUUGGCUGUAACUCGUUGACCAAAAGAAUUCAAUCUGUAACUAGCGGUAUUUCAAUUUUGGGUCUUUAGUGUGAAUUGCUGGAUUUUUUUUUAAAUGUGCUCUAUCUGUUGAGGACCUAAAGGUGGCCAUUCUUCUGAUUCACGGCUUGACCAGGCAGCUUGAGGUAUUCGGGGCCUUUAUUAGCGCAUAGAAAAGCUAAAAAUAAUGGAUAAGAUGGAGGAGGUCAGUGAUGACAAGAUUAAGGAAAACUGUGAGAGAUGUAAUCAAAUUGUGAAGGCCAAAGAGCCAUGGCUACAGAUCUCGAAAGGACAUUUGCAACUCUGGGGAGAAUUUAAAAGACCAACUUUAGUUCCUCUGGUAAAAAUGUAGUAAUAUAGGUUUGGGUAACCAUCAGGGUCGGAUGAGAGCCCAAUUAACGAGUUAGCAGACGAUGCUAUCCAGAGCCAGUCUGACCAGAGAUUUCUCGAUGAUACUGUUUUAUAGGCCGUUUAAAAAACAAGGAAAAGAGAAAUGCUUCCCAAUUAUCUUCACUUGCUCCUUACCUUCCAGAGAAAUUAGUUCAUGUGAUGGCGAUAAUACCUCAUGUGUCAUAUACUCAAAUAACAUUAUGUAAGUAGGGUUACGUUCCUGUCAACGUUGAGCAUGGUGCUUACGGGCUUUGCUAUUGGGAAGAAGCAGGCCGCACCAAGACAUGCGUACACAACGUAGCAGUGAUAACCUUACGACACCCUGAACAAAGAUUUAGCAGUAAUCUGAAGCAAACUACUGUUUAUUCACCUAUUGUAUUGCUGCAGUCAUGCAGACUCACUGUCAUUCAUUGCUUACGAGUGUUAUUACUGUAUCGUUAAUACAAAGGUUUGGCAGGACAAUUUUUGGUCCGACUAAACCUCCUUUGUUCCAAGGACCAAACUGCAACACAGUCCGCUCCAUGUUCGUUCUUUCCAGAAUUCAGCCACACGUGAAAAUCCUUUAAUUUGCUUAAACAUCCAAUAAAUAAUAUUGAAUACGGAGUGUCUGCCAAAAAGGCUUCUAGCGUCCUCCUCGACAUCGGUAAGAGCUGCAAUCUACUUGAGGGGCAUGAGUGGCAUCGCUCAGGGAGACAAAUUCACCAUGUCCAAACUUUCAUAAACGCUCAUUCGUGCUUCUGUCUUUGCGGGACAGAUGAACUUAGUCGCAUGAGUAGAUCUUGUUUAUUUGUGACUUUAGCUUCAGAACGGAAAAAUAGUACUUCCCUUCUCCUGCCCUGUUUCAGGAGCCGCGUGGAAGGGUGCAAAUUUCUUUCUCCUGACUGAAAAUUGAAGUCCUCUUGAGCUAUGUCAAAUGCGAAGGGGAAAUCUCUGCAAUGUCCAAUAGUAGAGCUUGCUCGGGAUGCUUCACUGCUUUCAUAGUUGGUGGACCUCAGAAUACAAGAAUGGCUGUCUUGGACAGCCUGUCUAUAGUUUGACGUGAAUGAUACUAGAAGCAGCAUAGCGUUUGCAGUAAGGCCUAGACAGCUAUGUCCUAAUGAUUUGUAUCGUAGAAUUACGAGUGCAAAUAGAUGGAAUAGUUAUAGAAAUUCAAGAUUGGAAUUCAUCAUAUCUGAGAGCUCAUAGCAGAUUAGUUCUGUUGGUUCUUCUUCUAUCGACAUGGAACAUCACUCACCCAAAAAAACAGAUGAAAACCAAAGAUUGAUUCUAUCAGAUUAAAGAAAAUGUGAGGAAGAACCUGCAAUUUUUUGCUACUGGAGUGAAAAACAUGUGAAUUUUGCGAGACAAGAAUUCAGUUCAUUUAAUAGGUUUGAACAUCUGAAGAUAGCUCAUUUCGAAUUUGGCAAAAAGACUGGAAUCAAUUUGUUUUGCUAAGAUCGUGUGGAAAGAUACUGAGGUCUUGCCUCUUAAUCAGAAUGUUCAAUAAUAAUUUGAGUAGAAUGAUUAAAUUUGAAAAUGAAAAAGAGCCAUCUUGCAAUGUACAUCCUCAAAAUGAAUCUCUCUUUGAAUAAUAUGGUUGCAUAUAUAAGAUCUAAGUAUAGUAUACCCCCUUUUUGGCAAAUGCAGAGCUACACUCAUUAUUGACAUACUCACAGGAUCAACAACACAAGUCCUCACAGGGGAUUUGAGAGAAAGGCCUAUAAAAAUUGACCAAUUCUGCUUCCGGCUGCAUAUAGGAUUUCCCUUGCUAAGCGCUUUCUUUCCCGCUUUUCUGGAUCGGACCUGGGGAAGUUGAAUUUUUGAUGGUUUUGUUCAGCAAAACCAAUACUGGGAUCGCCACCGCUCACAAUCACUUUCCUUACUUUUCCUAUCCUCUCUAAAACUCCCUUAAUGGCUACAUCAAAUGCAUCAUCGAAGUUCCGUUCUUUAGACCUGGGAUCUGCAUAAACCAUACUCGGAAUCAGCCGUAUAACCUCCUCUCUCAUGGCCAACACUUCAUUCUCCGGAAUGCUUUGGAGUAUUGGUUCAAUGCUAAACUUCUUGGCCUCAUCCAACUGGAUAAAUACGGAAUAUUUAGUAUGAUCCCUUGGUAAAUGCCAUACAUAUUGCACAUAAGCUGUGCCAGAAUGGAAAAACACAGGAAUGCACCCGGCCAGAAUCGAGUCAAAUGUCGACCGCCUAGUGUAAGAGUCUCCCCGUGGUUGCAAACAGAAAACCGAGCUUCGAAACACCUUCAUCACAUUAACUGGGUCAUCGCAAUUAUUUGUGCUGGAACUGCAGUUAAGCAACUUGCAUUUCCCAUUCGACGCAAGACACUGGUUAAUGAUCUCUCCCCGGAUAGUGAACUCAAGUUCAGGUCGCGGAGCGCCUGCAAAAGCAAACAGGUACUUUCUCUCCAGCUUUCUCAUUCUGUCUUGCCACUGUGCAACUUCAGCACCCUUCGAAGGAUGGAAAUAAGUCGGGUACGGGAUCGCGAAAUCGUUGUUCCAAACGCUCGACUCCACCGACAACAUCGUCAUGUUCUGAGAUUGUGGCAAGAACAUCAGUUUACUCCCCCAGUAGGACGGAUCAUCAGCCUGUCUCCUGAAAUCCCACGCUAUCCUACCCGCCACGAGGAAAUGGUCUCGACCCGACAUCCGCCUCCACUCUGGUCUCCUGGACAACCACCCGACUAGAUCGAAGGCCGUGGCGUCCCUCACCGAUAUGUUGGAACUCCAGAGGUACUGGCUAAUGUCCAGCCCUGCAUAGUACGGCACAUAGAUCGCGGAAGCGAGGGACGAAUCAUUAGUCAGGCACUUAUACUGCUUCAUCUUGUUAUGGAAAAUAACCUCCAGUUGGAACUGGUUCGUCCUGAACCAGCUGUUGUUCAACAACACCCCUCGGGAAUCGGCCACAGCAGGACCCAUGCCUAGGUUUUCGAUGUACGGACACAUGUUCACAGUCGUCCCUCUGGUCAGCGACUCGCACUUCCGAAGCAGGUCAUCAUUGAACCUGCUCGGGAGAUCAUGAACGUAAAUGAAUCUGCCAGAGCACGGAUCUCCAUCAAGACCCACGUCGAGACUUGCAUGUUCACUGCUCUGGUUAGUGGGCGAAACCGAAUCGUCAUCAGAUUUGUCCCCCACAGUGACGUCUGGUGGACUAAGACCAUCAUUAGGGACCUCACGAUCUCUUGCUGUACUGUUUGCUUUAAGGAGCGACCCUUUGUCGACGGGGGCUGAACCGAUGGUCUUGUUAGGACUCCCGGCUGAGGGAAGCGACUUGGGCUUGCGGGUGUUGAUGGAAUUCUCAUAAUUGUCGACGAAGAAAGUGACCCCGCUGUUGCCGCCGCCGCCCCCGCUCAAGAACGAACGAUCCGAGGAAAACAGUAAAAGGAAACACAGCAGAGAAGAAAUGAGGACGACGAACCAGACUUGGUGGCCGUACUGACCCUUCUUCCCCAGCAUCUCUUCCCGGUUCCGCUCAGAGCCAGAUGAGUGUGUUCCAAGACACGACAGCUUGGACGGUGAGAAGUUUCCACGGAUGCCGAGAGGGGACGGCAAGGUAAGGUAAGAGGGUCCUGCCUGAAGAAGGCCAAACGUGGGGUGAUUAGAGAGAGACAGCAGACAGACAGAGAGACGGGGGUUCUGCAGGAGGAGAUGGAAGAGUUACGCCAUGGGUGCUGAAGUCGAGAUUGCAUUAAUGGCGGCAUGAGUAACGGCCUUUUGAGUCAAGUUCGGUGUCUUAGCUGACUGGCCGGGUCAAAUUGAAAAGGAAAGGUGAGAACCUAAUUAUUACUUAGCUUUAAUUAGUGGGGUGAUUAGCCCAAUAGACCAUGCUAAGAUUGGAAGCCGAACACACCGUACACCUGCUAGAAUCCCACAAAACACCGUAGGGAGGGGAAAGGGAUGCCUUAUUAUUUUGAGAAAAAUAAAUGAUUGAAAAAUUAAUUUUAUAAAUAAUUAUUUGUAUCACUUGAAAUGAUAAGUCAAUAAAAAAAAAUUUCAUUAUCGAUAAUAGUUUAUGUCUAAAUAUUUUUUAUGAUGAUUAAAAUAUUUUUUGUUCAUGAGACCAUGAGGAUUCAAGCUAUCCCUAUAAAUAGCUUAUUGGAAUUCUAAUGUCCUCUCGUGAUUUAUGUUGUAUUUAUUUUACGAAAAAAUAAAUGAUUAAAAAUAUAUAUAUUUUAAAAAAAGAGUACUUAUAUCACUUGCAAAAAUAUAUUCUUGAAUCAAUUCCUUAGGUAGUGAUCUCAGGAUCUAGUCCACUUUAGCAAGACCAUUUAUGAGGACAAUGAAUCUUGUGAACAUUUCAAUAACUGUCUCCUCAUACUUGAUUUUGAACAAUUCACAAUUUCCUAAGAGGAUGUUCAAAUUUGUUUCUCGCACACAUUCAGUUCCUUCAAAUGUUAUUUUGAGUUGAUCCCAUAUUUCUUUAACUAAAUACAUGAAGAAAUUCUAUUAAACUUAAAAGGGGAGGGAGGGAGGGAGGGCGCGAUAAAGCAUAUGCCUUGCUUUAGCAUUAUGAGAGCGCGAUAAAGGGGAGCGAGGGAGGGAGGGAGAGCGCGACAAAGCAUAUGCCGUGCUCCUUUAAGCUCCUUCAAGGCUCCAGCAACAGUUGAUUUUUGCCUUCAUGUUGAGCAGCCGGUGCAAGCAUUCUCUUUGGAACAACAAGACCAUUCUUGAUGACUUCCCACAUCUAAAGAUCAGUUGCUUCUAUAUAAGCUUUGCAUGCGCUGCUUCCAAUAGCUAUAAUCGAUUCCAUCAAAAUAAGGUGAUUGGGAGCACGAGAGUCAAAGGCAAAAAAGCUACCAAGGUUAGCUAUAUAAAUAGAUCUCUUUGCUUAGAAGUAAUGCACUUCAAUAAACGGGACAGGGGCACAACUUUCGUAUGGCACUUACUUGAAGGCCAUAACUUUUCUUCUUCUUCUUUUUCCAUUCAAUUAAAUGCCACAAAUUUAAAAAAUUGACCACUUAAGUGCCAUCACGAUUCAUCUCACCAGAAUAUUCGAUAUGGAUGCUGAUUAUCAUACGUGGCACUGUCAGCGUCAACAUGGAUAAUUUUUGUAAUUUUUUUGAAUCAUUUAAGUGUCAUAAAUGUCAAAAAUCAAAAUUUUAAAAAUGCAAAAAUUCCAUGUAGGAUGAUUUGUUAGAAGUGGCACUCAAAUUAUUGAUUUUACUUCAGUGUAUCACUUAAAUGAGCCAAAUAAAAUUAUAACAGUCAAAUGAGCGUCGUACGAAAGUUAUGGCACUCUUGCUAUACUUACCCCAUAAUAAACAAGCAAUGAAACUCUUAUACCAAAUUUUGGGGCUAACAAAGCAACCUAGAAUGGGGAAUGAAUACGUUGAGUGCUGAUGGAUUAAAACUCUUUCAGAAUAUUAAACAAUCGGCACUCAAGAAUAUUAAACAAUGCUAAGUAAAUCAAAGUAAAAUAACUAGAUUAUACAAAGAUGUAUAGUGGUUCAACUUAUGACCAGGCCCACGUCCACUCUCGAACUCUCGGCCUAAAUAGCGGUUGGAUUCCACUAGUAAACAAUGGUGCAAGUUAUCAAUGGCUUGUGUAGUUCCCUUCAUUUAAUAGAUCACACUAUCGGGAUACAAAAAUAUUGCACUUACUCUUGUACAUUUGAGUAUAAGCUAUUACAAUGCUAAACCAAGUAUAAUGAGGUUUACAGAUCAAGAGCAAUGACAAUUUCACAUAUUCUGUUUUUCCAAGCUUCUCUCUUCACAGCACCACUACUCCUUAUAUACUCGGGUUUUCAAUAUAUCCAUUAGAGGCCUACGUGGUGAACAUGCUAGUAUGAACACUUAGAGGGAGAGUGAAUAGGUGUUCAAAAGAAAUAUUGACAAAUAAAUGCGAAAUAAAAUAAAUUUCAAGCAAAGUCUGAAUAAGGAUCAUAAUUUGACAAACAAGCCACCAGACUUCUAGCAGAUGUUCAGAAUGUGUUAUGUGAUGGAACAGACUUCUGAAAUAACUUGUAAGUAUGCAACAGACUUAAAUAUGAAGAGUUAAGAGAAGAGAAUGUUGCACACGAAAUUUAUAGUGGUUCAACUUAGAUCAAACCUGCAUCUACUAUCCCACGCUAACAGCCUUCUGAUUAGAUUCCACUAUGUGAUCAACAAGAAAUUAUAACUUUGAGUGCAAACACUCAGUGGUAGAUCACACUAUCUCACUAAGUCACUAUUUUGGUAUUUCUCUCACGAUCACAAACGUUUAAGCUCACGAAAGACAAAUGUAUGAUCGAAGGUCGCUCAGGCUUUGGAAUUAUAAAUUAUACGCUGUCUCUUACUUGCUCAUCAAUCUUUGAUCUCCUUAAAUACUCCUCUACUUCCAAACUAGCCGUUGGACAGUAUCUAGAGGAUCAUCUUCCAAUCUACCCAUUGGACAAAUAUGUAUCAAGAAGAUUUAGUAGCCGUUGAGUGAUAGAAGUAGAAUCCCAAAUUGAUUUUGAUCGUCCAUACAAAUUGAAUCUUGGUUUUCAUAAGUAGAGCUUCUUCGUAUAGAAAGUUCUUAUCUUAAAUAUUCAAUUGUCAAUCAAUUAGAUUGAGUCAAUCAAAUCUAUCUUGAUAUAAAAUCCAAACCAGAUCACUAGCCGUUAUAUGUUUGGGGCUUGUGUUACAUUCUGUCAAGUUGUCUCGUUCUGAACAUGCUUUGUUAUGAAUCUGUUACGUUAUGAACUUGUGUCUCGUUCUGGAUGUAAAGUCUGAGAGUGUUCUGUUUGAAGUAAAGUCUGAGUGUUUUGUGUUUGAAAUAGACUUUAUAAUCUAGAUGUACGUUUGAACAUUUUCUACUUCUGAACAUAUUUAGCCUUAAGGUUUGGACACAGUCUGAAUAAGUUCAGCUUCAGCAUAGAGUCUAUCUUUUGGUUCUUUCAAGCAUAGACUUCGACAAUAUCCUUUACAUGUUCUAUCAUAUGCAUAGUUUAUUACUCAACCAUUAAAAACGUUAUUAGUUUUUGAUUUAUUUUGUUAUCUUCAAAACAUCAUAAGGGAUUUUCCUAACACAUGGAUAAUCAGCUAGCCAUUUAAGAGUCGUUGGGAGGUACUCUAUCGGUAUUAAGAUUGCUUCUACAAUCGCUUUACUUGUAAUGACCUAAAUUUCCAUACAAUUUAAACCUCAUAUGUGAAUAUAAUUUAACUUUAUUUCAAUCUGGUAAAUGAAUAAUCUAUCCUCAAUUGAACAAAUAAUUUAACCUUAGCUAAUAUACAUCGAAACUUUAUAUACAUAAACCCAUCUCCACUUUCAUCACACUUUGAUCCAAGCCUUACAAGUGGUCUUCGGAAGCGUUAAUCUAAAAGCUCCUAAACUCCUGAACUACAGAUUGACAAACCUUGCCAAUCAACAAGCCAUCGCCAUUGAAACCAAAAGAACCAUCAAAGCCCCUUAACGAUAUAAUUAACUCACUAUUGAUGUUCUAGUACUAGUGACAAAUUGAUGGGAACCCACUCCAACAAUCUCGCAAUGACCCAUACAAUAAAACUAUACUUAGUAUAUACUACUAAUAAUUUUGGUACAAGCACAUCAUAGUAAUUGCAACCAAAAUAUAUAGGAACUUCAAACCACAAUAGUGGAGGGUGAUCCAUCCUAUAAAUCUGAAAAAUAUGGGGUGAGCCAAAACUCAGUAAAUGAAGGCUCUAAGUCUAAGGUAGAAGAUCACCUUACCACUCAACUUGGUGCGUGCAAAGCACAAUGAUCCCAAGCACAUACUAAAUAACUAUGAGAGACGAUUAAAUAAAUGGAUGCAUUAAUUUACAUAUCAUGUUAUGUCGAGAGAAACCAUGAACAAUAUCACAUAGGAUUAUUCAUUCAAAUGCAAGCAGAUGACAUAAUACAUUGUGAUGCAUGAUUAUAACCAAUUAGUUCAUUAAUAGACAUGUAUGCACACAGUCACGCAUCAUAUUAAUAAUUUCAUCUCAUUUCAUCUCGAUUCUUGGAGCAUCCCAACUCUAGGGCAUCUCGAUACACGGGACAUCUCCACUCCGAUACAUCACAAACAUUCCGAAGACAUCUCCACUCCAAGGCAUCUCGACUCUAUGGGUCACUCGAACUCUGAGGCAUCAUUGCCACUAAUAUUUAAGCGAUGGGCAUAGCUUUUCAUGAUACUCUUUAUAUUUACUCAUAUAGCAAAAAUGCACAUAAUAACAUUAUAAUCAUAUGAUCUCUCUUACCUCAACAACAAAAUCAACGUUCAUUUCAAGAAUCGACAUUCGGUACACAACAUUUUUUCAUGCAAUUUUGUUUUGGAACAAAAUUACAUUGCACUUUCAAUGAUCACAUACGCGAAUAAUAAUUAUGAGGUGCUUACCUCUUGUCAUUUCUCAUGAAGCAAAUGAUAACAUUAUGAAAGAAUCAACCAUAUGAACAUCAAUAACCCAAAUAAUCAACGACAUGACAUCGACAACCCAACUAAUAAACAGCAUAACACCAACAACAUAAUAAUUGACAAAAUGCUUAACUAGUAAAUCGGUAAUUUAUUCGAAUCACGAAAAUAUCAUUUUUGGGUUUAAUCUACUGCCAAAUCUCAUGGAAGUUGAUUACUUACAACCUCAACAUAUAGAAAUUCAUUUAUUCAAGUCAAAUGAACAUAAUGAUUCAUCAUGCAAUUGUUAUAACCUUCUCACACUUAACAUCCAAGUUUAAACUAAAAUUAACAACCAUCAAACAACCAAGUCAAGAGCACUAAGUAGAUCCAUCUAACUUAGUCUUUGGAGUUUUCAUUUACCAUGAAAAUGACUAGAGCAAAAACCAAAUCUUUGAUUUCCUUCAAAGAAAAAUAAUCAAGAACAUAAAUUAACAACUCCCGAUCUUUUUAAACAACAAAACUAAUUUGAUAAGAUAAAGAGGAAGCCUAAAAAUUCACCCUAUAAAAACAUGAAAUAUCGAACUAGAAGCUUUAAAAAUACAAGCAUGAGACAUUUGCCUUUGCUUUAAAAGAGUGGGAAAUGAAAGAGAAAGAAAAGUGGCAUGUAACUCUCUCUUUCUUUACAAGAAUAAGUUAACGCUCUCUAAUUAGAGCUAGGCUUCUUGAAAUGACUUCGCACGAUCAAGAAGACUUUCAUGAAGUACAAAAGGAUAAGAGUAAGUAACUAAGCUUAAAUAUAAUGAUGAGUUUGAGUUAAAAACACCAAGUGUAAAAGAGUGGGAUAGAUGUUCCAGUCCAUAAGUUACAAGUGGCUUAAUGAGGGCGGCUAAAAGGAGACAUUUUAAUUGAGAAAAGAGAGAGCUCCUUCCAUCAAGUAAAAUGCAUAAAUGAGUCAUCAAGAGAAUUUAUGAGCUAAAGAGGUUCAAAUAAAAAUUUAUAAGUGUCAUAAUCAUAUAACUCCAUUCAAUGAUAUGGUCAAGGGGAAUGAAUUUAAAAGACCAGGAGUUAUCAAGAUAUAAGAAUAACCAACCAAGAUUAAAAGUAAAAAUGGCUUGAAAUUAAAAACAAUUGAUUGAAAUUGAGUGAGGAGUGUUUCAAUUAGAAAGUGACAAAUAGCUCAUUUCAAAGUAGAUAUUUUGUUAAGUUAUCAAGAUAUCUAGUAAAAUUAUUAUGGAAAGAAAAAAGUCAAUAUCCGUUUCAAAUACCGAUAAAUCAGAAAAUUAUUUUGGACUCACUAAAGUCAUUAAUGAAAAAUAAGAGAUGUUAGGAAAUUCUCGGUUCACUAAAUUUUAAAACUUGAAAAUCAUCUAAUAUGUAUUUCGGAGUGUGUCGGGCCUUGAAUAGGUUAAUGAUUGUUGCUCUACACAAUCAAUAUACAUGUCAAUAUCUAUUUUUUGAUGCUAACGUAUCGGACUCUGGCCAAUAACAAUCGUGGAAGAUCAUCCUUCGCACCUCGCAAAGUAAUCGACUAAACUGAGAUUCCCUAUUUGUCACCCCAAAACUCCAAGCUAAAUAAUACUUAACAUUACAUCCUAAAUAUUAUUAUUGAAUAUAGAAAAUUUUGAUCACAUCACUGACCAGUGCAAAUUUCCCAAAAUGGCUAUAGCUGUCUUGCCUCAAAAAAUAUCAACUGCUUAUCGAAUACUUGACCCAUUUUUUAGCUACGGAAUCCAAAGCUUCGAUAGCUCUUUUCUAAACCAUCAAUUAUUUUCUUCCGAUGUGUAUCUCACUAUCAUCGGACCUGAUAUAUCACUAUUGCAAUCUAUCACACACUAUUAUUGGCGCUGAUUGUAAGUGACUCGGCUAAUUAUAUUCAAUGACGAUAUCAACCAAGUGACACGGAUGUUAAGAUCAAUCAUGGUUUCCAACUUUAUUAGUACCAAAGAUUUCCAUAAUUGCUAUCUUGACUAGUCCUUCCAAGCUAACAUGAGAUCUAAAUCUCAUUGAUGCUUAUUCACUGAAAGUCAGAGGUAUAUUGUCUUUGUUGAUGGGUAGAAUCAUUGAUAAUGAUAAGCAAUUUCACUAUGUGCAUUCAUCAUCAUAAUUAUUUAUAAUAGAGAUAGUUUAGUGAUCAUCAAAAUUUCAUAGGAGUGUUUUCCAACAUCAAAUAGACAUCACACUAAUCGAUGAUAGUGACUUGAGACUAUCAUGGCAAAUAAUCCUUCAUUACAUUAGAGAAGUCGUUGAUGUAGCUACUAGUGUGCCACAAGUACAUACUUUCUCUGACAUAGAAAUAAUCCUAAAGUUGUUCGCGUCACUUCAAUUCCCAAAGAGCACUUUAAGAGGGUGUUUGUUUGUAUUUUGUUUUUUAUGAACAAAAAAAGAAUAGAAACGCGUUCGUUUGCAUUUUUCCAAAUUUAUUUUUUUAUUCCCGGGAACAAAUAUGAAAUAGAAACAAGAAACAAAAAAGACUUGUUUCUUGUUUCUGAAACACUUUCAAGAAACAAAUUUUCUUUCUCUUCUAUUUUUCUUCUAUUUCUUUCUUCUUCUUUUCUUCUUCUUUUCUUCUUCUUUUCUUCUUCUUUUUUAUUUAGCCGGUCGCCGGAGCAUUGCCGGCCCCUAGCGAGGCUCAGCCUUGCCUUGGUUGGGUGAGCUCGAGCUCACCCAAAUCCAGCGAGGCCAAGCUCACCGGGGCCCGGGGAGCCUCGUCGUGGCUGGGCGAGACUGCCGGCCACAAGGAAGAAAAAAAAUGAAAAAUAAAACGAAAAAUAUUAAAAAAUUAAAAGAAAAAAAAACACAAAUUUACCAAACAUAUUUCUAUUCUUUUUUUUUUUUUCCAGGAACAAGUUUAUCAAACGCGAUCUUCAGGUCAAAAAUUGUUCCUCAGAAUAGAAAUAGUUUUUUCUAUUUCUGUUCCCUGGAACUUUUUUGAACAAAAAUGUUACCAAACGCACCCUAAUUGACCAAGUUCCUUGAUAUAAACACACUUGUCAAGGUACCAUUUGACGCGGUACAAAUUAUGAAGCAAUUUACAAUAAAUUCCGGUCAAUUGUGAAUAUCUUGAAAGUUACAAACAGUUUGAGGGCAGUUACAAGGACUUACAGAAUAACAAUAAUUAUUGAGGGCAACUACUAAGCACAACCACCAUCAAUUUCGACAAUUUGAGGCAAAAAACUAUGCCAUUGAUUUAUUACCAUGUGUUUUUAUAAAUAAAUUACCGUACAUAUAUAUAAUUACUAUUAUGAGUGCACGACAACUAGAAAUAAGUUAUGAAUCAUAAAAUAAAAUUACUAUUCAUAAGUUGCAAUCAACCUUAUGGCAUUUUUUUCGUACAUUAUGAUAAAUUCAAGAAAUUUACAGCAAGUCCAUUUUUUUUUUUUUUUUGACAUACAAGAUCAUAGAAGCCACCCAGAUAGAGUUACUUUAAUCUGCUAAGUAGUGCACGAAACUCCACCGCAGACACUGAUCCAAGGCAUGCAUUAAGGAUCACAUGCAGUUCUCGGCACUUGCAUAAAAAAAAUGUCUAAACAAUUACAAAACGACCGUUCAUGCCCUAACUUUGGUAACGGGACCCCACAUUUCUGGUCCUAUGCACCAGGUUUCACGUUAUGUCCGUGAAGAGAUGAGUUUCUACAAAUGUAAAAUCCCCGACAAUUAAGUAACGACCGGCCAUUUGAAUCACAUAUGUGCAUAGGUUAACUUUUCCAGAUUGAGUUUGCGUGUAUCUUCUGGAUCACUCGUACAAUUUUGUGGGUAUUGGUAGCACGAAGAAAUAAGUUAGGGGCACAAGAGUCAUGCCAGAUAAAGUGAAGACUUCUAGUUGGGAUUUUUCAGAUUCACAUCAUUUCCAUUAGCUUGCCGUCAUCCAUCCAAUUCAUCAUGUGAGAUUUUCAACAGCCAUCUUAGACCAAAUUAUACUUAAGGGUACUUUUGGAUCACAUAUACAAAUUUGAGGAUUUUUCACGACCCAAAAAAAGUUCAGAGUAUUAAGAGUAUUGGUAUCACGUCAAACUAAAUGUAUUUUAGAGUCUUUAAUGGUAUUAUUACUAAUAAAAGUUAGUGGUAUGGGUGCCACACCGGAUAAAUCGUAGGCUUUUUGAUAAGAUUUUCUUUUUCUUUUUUUUUUUCAGAUUCAUGCCAUCUCCAUUUGCCUCCCGCUAUACACCCAUGUCAUUAUGCGAGAUUUUCAAUAGCCGUCUCGGAGAGAAUUGUGUUGAAGGGUACUUUUGGGUCACAUAUACAAAUAUGAGGAUCUUUCGUGAUUUCAAAAAUGUUCGGGAUAUUAGUAUUAUCUUGGAAGAAAUUUGGAGUCUUUUUUUAUGGUGUUGGGUACUAAUUAAAAUUAAGGGUUUUCCUUUCCUCGCGAGGAUGAUCAUUUCUCAAAAGACGGGAGCAUAAAAGGGGUCAAAUCUAACCUCUCUCUUCUCUUUUUCCCUUUAGUCCCUCUUUUCUGCAGAGUCUCCAUGUCUUGAGCGCAAGACAUUGCAGAAAUCAGGUAACCGUAUCCGCAAAAGCUGUCUCUCACAAAGCGAGCAAAGGUGCAUCCCGUGGGUCCAAAGACUCCAAACAUCGUAGCCCACCAUCGGGCGGCAGCGUUCGAAAAUCGAGGCCCCGUAUAGUUGCUUUCCACAGUACACCUCUGCCGACACUCCCGUGACAAUAACAGCCCUAGCCCUAGGGUUCUUCCAUGCUUGCACGUCUCAAUGCUUGCACCCCCAAAGUCCUGUCAGGGUUUUAGGGUAGGAGUCGUAUUGUCAGUCGCUCGCUCCAUCAUUCUCCAGUUUUCCAUGGGGUUUUGCGAUUUGCACGCACCAGAGAAAAUAUUUAAAAAAUCCAAAAUAUAUUAUAUUAGUGUUAAUUUAAUUUUAAAUUUUUCAAUUGAAUAAAUUUAGUUUUAAACAUUUUUGUAUUUAUGUUAAAUUAAGUCAAUCUAAUCAAUUUUAAUUUGUUGAUCAGAUAGAGUCAUGAGCAUAAAUGCAAAAUUCUUACGAUUAAGCUCAAUUGUAAUUGAUUGGGAGAAUUACCAAAAAAGUCCUAAACCUAUUGUAAUUGUGCCAAUUUAGUCCUAAAUUUUUUUUUUUAGCCAAUUUAGUCAUAAAUCUUUUACAGUUGUGUCAAUUUAGUCCAUCCAGCCAAAAUUGGCCGGCCGGCGCUGACGUGGCAAUUUUAAAUAUUUUUUUUAUUUUUUUUCGAAUUUUUAAUAUUUUUNNNNNNNNNNNNNNNNNNNNNNNNNNNNNNNNNNNNNNNNNNNNNNNNNNNNNNNNNNNNNNNNNNNNNNNNNNNNNNNNNNNNNNNNNNNNNNNNNNNNGAGUCCCUCCGCCGAAUUCCCCCCGAUUCGCCCCACCAGAACGAACGGCUCGGCUUGAUUCCGACCGCCGCGAAGCUCUUAGAUUCCGUCAGCCGAACCUCGGCGUCAAUGGCGGCGUCCGCUUGCAACCGAGCAAUGCAGCGAGCUUCGACGUCCCUCGAACCGGCCCUCAGAUCGGGCGUCCGAUCGUCUCCUCAGCUCGGCUUCGCCUCCCCCCGAUUCCCUCUCCCCGCCCGGUCGACCGCCUCCCCGCCUCCGCCCCAGCCUUGGCGAGGGCCGAGCUCGUCAGAUCUGGCGAGGCCUCACCCUCGCCAGCGGCCGGCGAGGCUGACCUCACCAGAUCUGGCGGGGCCUCGCCCUCGCCAGCCCUUGCCUCCGGCCGGCGGGGGCGAGCCUCGCCAUUGGCCGACGAGGCUAACCUCGCCGGCCCUCGCCUCCGGCCGGUGCCGGCCGGCCAGGAGGAGAAGAAGAUGAUGGAAAAAAAAAAGAAAAAAAAAAGAAUUAAAAAAUUCCAAAAAAAUAUUAAAAAUUCGAAAAAAAAAUAAAAAAAAAUAUUUAAAAAUGCCACGUCAGCGUUCGCCGGUCCACGUCAGCGCCGGCCGGCCAAUUUUGGCCGGAUGGACUGAAUUGACACAACUGUAAAAGGUUUAGGACUAAAUUGGCCAAAAAACAAAGUUUAUGACUGAAUUGGCACAAUUACAAUAGGUUUAGGACUUUUUUGGUAAUUCUCCCAUAAUUGAUUUAGUAAUGUCGUACUAUGGAAAUGGCCGAUGGGCACGUCUAAGCCAAGCCCUUAUAUCAGACCUAUUCGUUGCCCGAGCCCACCGUUGAGGAAAACCUUUUUCCAUAUAAAAAUUUUGGGCCGCGCCAAGCCGCCCAUGCACAGUCGUGAGCUGCCACGCCAAUCAUUUGGUCUAUUUUCAAAAGUAGAUAUUUACGUGGUCCUCCAUUGGAAUCGUAUCACAUUGAAUCUUGAUUAUUAAGUAAUUAAGUGUUUCACUUGAAAGUGGUGGAUGCCAUACUGAGUCACAACAUAUCUCAGCUAAGGCAACCUAGAGUCAUGUCUUAUUAUCCCGAUGUAAGUGGGCAUGACAGUUUACGUGCAUCUAAUUGGAAUGAGUGGAUCAGAAGAUAUGGAUGCUCGUGUUUCAAAAAACAAAAAAGUUCAGGCCCAUUGAUUGUCAUCCCCUGACUCAUGACAGGGUGCCCGCUUGGCGAUGCGGUUUCGAUCCCAUGUUCAUGCAUUCAUUUCGAAUCCUCCUCCCACUCUCCCAUGGCGAUUGCUGUCCAGCACAACCGGCAGAAAGACGACGACGACGAUCGCGACGCAGAUUUUCCUCUUGUUCAUGUUAAGAAAAGAACAAGAACUACAUAAGGCGUCUAUCUCUGUAUUGAGAAAUAGGCAGACUUGAGUAAAGUAGCCAAACUGGUUGGGAGACUAGGCUUGGCCCAUCAUUCAUGGCUUUGUAGCUAGGCAGACCAGCGACGGUCUACUAUCAUUUGGGCCCCACGUCUCGUAUAAUAAUUGAUUCACGAUUAGUGAUGUAACAAGCGCAUGCCACAAGACUUGCUAUGAGUUAGCAAUCCUCGCAGUCCUAGUGAAAAAGAACACUUCUUUGGGGGGAAACCUCGGCUCGUGACUGAUGGCAACUCUCCAUGAAUUUUCGUAAUUUCUAAACAAAAUGACGUAACACUCAAAAAACGAAAACUUUUACAGUUAAUGGACGAGAUUUAGUCUCCUUUUUUAUCCGAUGUCCAUCGAGGAAUUGGCAAUCGGUUCACCCAAGAACCCUUAGAAGCACUCCAGAGGUAAAAAGACAUGACCAAGGCUAAGAGUUGGAAAGAGGAGGAUUCUUAAUUGGUCCGGGUACGUGUAAAGCCCUAAAGCAAGGCAGUUGUAGAACGAGACAGGUACGAAAUUCUUAAUUGGAAUGGGGUUGGCCCACUUAGAAGCCCAAAAGGAAAGGAAGACGAGCUUCAUAUGAACUGGAGUAAGGCCCAGAAGAUAUAUUAGCAAGCUCUAAGGUCUUUCAAAGACAUGAGAAACACUACCAAGCUUUAGGAAAUCCUUUUUACUUACAUGAGGGAUUGCUUCAAUUUGAUCGAUCUACCGUGGACACACAUGAAUUGCUCGUCUGCACGCUUCGUGUAGGGAACCGUCCGUAGGGUGGCGACAGCCCCUUUACGUUGCUUAUUAUACUUAGCAUCAUUCGGCUCAUUAAGAACUUAUGAUUGCAAUCCCUUUUGAUUUCCUUGCAAAUUUCUUUCCUCUUGAAGAUGGAAGUCUUGGUACCAAGAAGUCAAAAUUUACAUAACUUGGCAUAGGAUCCUCCGAUCGUUUGAACGUCGGUUCGGUUCUUACACUUCGAAAUCGCAUCUUACAAGAGUACAAAAGGACUGAAAUUUUUCUUUGCUUUUGAAAUGCUGUUGGCUCUUUCGCACAUGGUGCUGACUAGUAUUAAAGUAUGGGCAAUGCUUUCUGUCGGAGAUUCCUUAUCUCGCCCCAAAUUUAAUAUAUGCGUAAGGCCAAGGUGCGUUUCAAUACGUGAGAGAUGAUCCUCAAGCCACCGACAAAAGUUUUUUUAAAGAGUUUAUUAGAUGGGUGCAUGUUACAAAUGCAUUUGGAAAACACUUUUUCAAAACCCCUUGGACUUUAAAGGCUUUUGAAUAAAUGCAAAUACCAUUUGGUAAUUUUUUUGGAGAGUUUUGGGAACAUGCAAUUGCAUUUCUAGACACCUCUAAGCCCAAAGCAAGUCCGGGUGUGUUGAGUUUUGAGCAUUUCCGAAAUACACAUUUUUUAUCUUCCAACUUUGUCCUCUCUUAAGUUUUUCAUUAUUCCGAAAAUGUCUCCACCUCACGCAACGUCACCAACAAGGGUUCAUGUUAGUAUUAAUUGUGCCACGUAGGAUGAUCGACGUGCACAUCAGUGAUUUCUAGCUAAAUUGACUGGAAUGACUACAUUAACAAAUCUUCAAAAGGUUUAGGAUUAAUUUGCCCGAAUUAAAAAGUUUUAGACUAAAUUUGCCAAUGCACAAUAGGGUUGGGACUUUUUGGGUAAUUAUCUCUUGGAGACUUGACAAAGGAAAUUCCAAUUCAUGAAGUUUAGGUCAUAUGUUUAAAUUUUACUAAUUACGUGCAACCUGUUUAGGCAAGGUUAGAGCUACACUGAUAGGCCAAAUUAAUGGCCAGUUGAUUGUUUAUAUGUCUUAAUUUCUGAACACUUGCCUCUUUGAUGUUGGGUAGGUAGAGUCUGAAGAACAAAAGGUUAAAAUAGGUAUGCUAUUCCUAACUAACAAGCACCACAUGCCAUUUUUCGGGGGAUUGCAUCUUAGUUUCCUAACCCUUUACUCUUGAAUUUGGACAUUAUAAUGCUAGAUUUUCUGAUCCACAGGUUCUAUAAAAUGAUAAAUGGAGAGCAUACUUAAAAUUAUACCAUCUUACCGAGCUAACAACAAAGUUCUAAUCAGAAUAAGCCAUUCCAGGGGAGGAAGAAAAAAGACUUAGAAAACCAUGAACGAUAUCAGAAUAUGGGUUUAUUUAGGGAAGGUUAUUCUACCCCUUUAAUUUACAAUACAUUGCCUUAUAUAGGCAUGAGCUGCAUCACACAUCACAAGGCAUUUAGAGGAUAGGUCCCUCUAAUGAUGCUACAAACAAUAGAUACAAAAGCCACAAAGUACAACAGAUGCUUAAAGCACUACAAACAACACACACUCCACACCAAGCCUAAUAAAGCACGCGGUAAAGCACAAAGCACACUACCAUAUAUUAUUAUUGAAUCCUUUUAGUGUUGUCUAUUGAGCUAUUUGAGCCAUCUUCGUGUUUUGCUUUGCAAAAGGCGUGAAUAAGGCUAUAUGUUCUUGUUAUGACAAAAGCUUUUUAGCAACAAGGUCGUCAAGGAUUCCUAAUGAAGAUGGGCGAUCUGUUCUUGUUUUCUUAAAGGGAGAGGACUAGUUUUUCUAGGGCUAUGACCAGUGGGAUCAAUUUUCGAAAGUGGUGGAAGCCAACUAUAAAUAUGUGUAAAGGAAUUUAGAUAAGUAUGGGUCUUGGGCUAGUGGCCCACCCCAUGGAUCUUGGGAGGAAAAAGUGAAUGCUUCAUCAUAAUCGAAUCUGAGAUCUUCUCCAUAAUAUUCUCUUAAGGCUUGAUGAAUUUGGUGACUUACUUCAGGAAAUUGUAGAUUAGUGUGUUGCCAAAUUGUGUUACCUUUUGCCAAAUUUAUGGAGGAAUCACCCUAUUGUGUUGGUGCAAAAUUCUCUGAAGUUCCUUAUAUUCCUAUGGGAUUUGCUUGACUUUGCUAGGAGGGUUUUGAAAACAUGUUUGUUCCUGGUUGAGGCUUGAAAGUAGAGACACCAACCUUUGCCAAAGUCUAGUGAAGAUCUCCACUUGGCCUAAUAAACAUCCACAACCUAUGAAAGAUGAUUAAGGUGUGUAGUUCUAGAUUUGGCCGGCAAAGUUUCAAUUGUUCUUUGAAAAUUAAUUUUUGGGUUCCUAAAGGAUUAAACCAUGACAUGAAUUCUCCCAAAUGUGCAAAAUCUUAUUGUUUUUGGAUAAUCUAGCUAAUGAUGAAAGGCAUUUUAGCUAUAGGAAAUUCGACAGCUAUCGUAUGCAAAUUAAGCAUAUACCAAAAAAGCCAUUUAAGGUCUUCAGGAAAUGGGUCUAUGGGUGAGAUGAUUAAAUGAUAUAUGAAUGGAUACUUGGGACCCAAGGGUUUCAAACAUAAUCCACCAUAUAUGUUGAUGAUUCUUAGCUAAUAAACCAAUAACAGAUCAAUUAAGCUUUCAAAGAUAAUAUUUCCUUGAAUGAGUCCUAGAAUUUCAGGAGGAUAUUCCCUACUCGGCCAUUUUGGCGCAUUAGUUGAGCUCAAAUUUGGCCACUGGCCAUUGUACUUGAUACAUGUUGAUGAAACUCACUGGAGCUUGAUCUGGCCUAAAUAGAAAAUUUGUAAGCAUAUUCUUUUUUUUCCGCAAUUUGUUUGGUUUCAAAAGAAUAUUUGGAAAACCAUUCUACCUACCUCAGAAGCUAUGGGUGCGAACUGUCUUCUGUUUGAAUUUCAACAUCUUGGGAAAGGAAGACAUGUCCAGUUCGAUAAGAAAAUGAUGACCUAUGAGAUGGGAUUCAAAAAUGGUAAUGAAUUUCUACUGAGGAGAAUCUUCCACUCUUGUAUCCACAGAUUCUCCUCUUACUGUCAGGCUAUUCUUCGAAAAGAAUAGCUGCUUAGUAUUUGUCACUAGCAUCAGUUUGGAGAAUUCUUUUUCCUUGAAAGGGAAUUUGAAGAGAAUGUAAAGAUUCUAACUUUUGUUUGAGUGGCUAGACUACCUUACUUUGUGAAAGUCCCCAAGGACGUAGAUAUUUCUUCAAUAUUUUUUGCAAUGGAUGCAUAUACCUAGUGGUCUUAGGAACAAAAUCCCUCAAGUGGUUAACUAUUAAGGAAUUGUUGGUUUUGUUUAUGGGAGAGAUUCUAAAUGGGAACUAGAAUAGUUUUUUUUUUUUUUUUUUGCAAUAUGAUCACUUGGUUGGAAUGCGCCAUCCUUGAGCUGCAUGCCAUCAAAAUUCAAUCUCCGUAUGGGCAAUCUUCAUCUUUUUCAGUAAUAACAUAAUACCAUUCUACUUGACAAUAUGAGCAAAAUUGGAUGAACAACAUACAGUGAGACUCUUUGUCUUCCCUAUAGAGCAAUAUGUCAUCAAUGUAGAUCCAUGCACCUGCAUCGAUUGGAUGUAAUAUUUUGCACAUGACCUUUUAGAAUAAUGAGAGUGUUGUCAUUAAUCCGAAAGGAAGGACCUUCCACUCGAAGUGUUCGUUUAGUAUCCAAAAUGUUGUCUUAUGUUUGUCUUCUAGGUGGAUUCCAAGUUGCUAGAAUCCUACUUUCAAGUCGAACUUAGAGUAAAUUUUUGUAGUUGACAGACGAGAGAAUAAAGUUUUUUCGUUGGAUAAGGGAAACUUAUCAUCCUGGAAGAACAUUUUAAGAUGUUGAUAAUUGAUGACCAAUCUCAUUUUUACUCUAACUUGUUCGACACAAUUUUCCAUAUAAAAUGCUUCACAUGCUCACUGAGUUUGUGGGCUCAAUAAGUCAUUGUUGGACGAGAUCUUUGCAUUCUUUCUAGGCUAAUUGGAGGUGUCAUGGAUUCAUUCCCUAUAGCUUGCUCUAGUUGGGUUGACAUCCUCUUUCUUUUUAAAGGGAAAUUUAAUGAAAAAAUCUUAAUUUUUCCACAAAGAAUUGGAACAUCUGCCAAGAAACUCUAAGUGGUUUUCAGCGCAUGACUCAAGAAGGGUUGGAUGAUCAAAUCAAGGGUUUUAGGCUAGAUCAAAUAGAGUCUCUAAGUCUCUAAAAAUUCUCAAAACUUCCAAGGUCUAAGUUAGGAUAUCCCAGCUAAUAAUGAUGCGCCAAUUUCGAAAUGGGAAUCCGAUAAUCCAAGUAGUAAUGGUGCACUAUUGAAAGAACUGAAUUUGGAUGGGCCUUAUUUGGUUGGAAAAGCGUUUCUAGAUGUAGAAGUAAAAUACCAAGUAUGAGGUUCCCAAUAUUCUCAGGAAGAAGCUUUGGAUCAAGGAUAGAAGAGUCUACACCAGUGUUUUUGAGUACAAUGAGGGGAAUGGAUUUAGAGGAUUGGGAUGGAAGGAGCUGGAUAGGAACAUAUGGCUUGAAAGAAAGAGCUUUUCCUUUACUGACUUGGAUGGAUGAGAAUUGGUCUUGGCUUGCUAGAGAGGAUGAUGGUUCAUCAGAAAAGAACAUGCCUUUGUGGGCAGAAUAAUCUCCAUCUUCACUAUUUUUUGAGAAAGUUUAUAUGGCACAAAUAGUUAUGUCAGAAGGUUCAUUUUCAAGAGAGAAGACGGACUCAAGAUCAUCUUUUACCAGAGAGAUACCAUUUUUCUUGUGGAUGGCGUCCACAAGAUCCAUACUUCUUUUGUGGAUUUGUGGACAAUUUUUUGCGAAAAGUCAUUUAUGACCACAGAUGAAAUAGCGAUCUUUCUUCUUCUUUUUACCAAAUGAUCUCCUUGAUGGUAUUGACGACUCUUUUUAAAAAAGAUUCCAUUUUCUUUUCUUUCUUCUGGAAGAAUGCUUUCGAAAAUGCUUCUAUUUCUUGUUUAGACAGUCAUAAGAAGAAUCUCUAUGGCCACAUUUGAAUUGGCAGCCUAGUCUUUUGGAGGCCUUGCCCAGCAUCUUGUUGUUUUGUAAGAAUUUCUUGAAUGCCUUUUUCUUGAGACAUAAUUUGUCAAGGGUUCCAUGAAUCCCUUGCUUGAUUUCUCUAAAGGAAGCAUCUAAGGUUCUCCGAUUUUUUGAUUGGAAAUACUUGUCAACCAUAUUGCCAAUUUGCUUUGGCACAGAUGACAAGAAUACCAAUUUGAGAGCUGGAUCUCCACCAAGGGUUUAGUAGAGCUUCAUCAUAUCCUGUAAAUGUCUAUCAAGAUCUUUUUGUUCAUAAGAAUAGCAUUUUCUCUCAAAGAAUUCUUUCUUUUUUUGCUCUACGAGAUCUUUUGGUCUCCCGAUAAAGUAAAGGUGAAGAAUGCGAAUCACUUGGUCAAAAUCUUGUGCUAAGAACAUAUCAUGAUCUGUUGGAGCAAGAGCCAACCACUGUUCUAGCAAGCUGCUUGUAAAUCUAGCAGUAAAAUCUAGGAGAAUAUGAAAUUGGUCAUUUUCUAGAUCAGUAGUUUUGAUGUUCAUCCAAUCAUAGAACUCUUGUAGCCUAGCAUGCCACUUGUGAUAUGAUAUAUCAUCAAGUGUGAAGGUGAGAUUAGAGAUUUUAUUCCCAAAAUUAGUAUUCUAGAAGGGAAAAUCUAUCGUGUUUUCUUCAUCUCUUUCUUCAUAUUGCAUCAUGAAGCUAAUGGGGCCUUGUUUAGGAAGAGUUUGAGGCUAUUCAUCAUCCAUGAAGUGGAUGAUGUAUUGUCUGACUCAGAGACAAAAGCUUUAGAGUAUGAAUCUUGUAUAUACUGGAUUUUGUCACGGCCUACUAUGGUGAUGCUCAUCUUGGCAUGUUCUCUCAUAAACGACUCAAGGGGGUUGGAGAUCAUGUAUGACGAUGGAGGGUCAGGUGGUGGAGGCUCAGACUGUUUUAAUUUUGCCAAUUAUUCUGUUGAUUUGGCUAUAGAUUUCAAUUUUUGUUUUGCUAAGAACCUUUCUUUGAUGGCCCUGGCGUCAUGCCUAUAAGCAGGAGCGGUUUGAUUUAAACUAGAAAGUAAAUAAGGAAAUGAUGGAUUAAUGGUGGAACUCAAAGGGAGGAAUGAAUAUUUUUCUCACAAAGAGGAAAAUAAUGGAUCAAAGAUAAAGGUAGAAGAAGAGGGGUUGUGUUUCCUCUCUUCGUUGGUUUGGAGUUCUUUGAUUGUUUCUAAAGGUUUUCUACUUCAACUAACUAAUCAUCAAGGUAAUGUCUAACCCAACUUCUAUUUUUUUGUAGCUUUGUCUAAUAAAGUUGAAGAAGUUUGUUUUGGACCACUGAAGUCUAAUCUAUCUGUUGACAGACACAAUCUAGUUGAGUUUUGACUUCUCCCACUUCGCUUUGGACUUCAACCACUUGAGUUUUGAGAACAUUAAAGCCCGCUUGUUGUCGGACCUCAAUAUGGUAAGGGCCUUGUUUUGGACUAAGGCAUUUUUCGUUUGCCAAUUUAUGACAAAUUCCGGGGGACUGAGCUCUCUAGUAGUUCCACUAGAAUUAAUUCUAGUGGGAUUGGGAAUCUUGGGUAUUAUACUUAGUAGGACUUGUGAAUUUUUCCGAAUAUGGAAACUCAAACUCAUUAACCAUGCAAAUGUGGGAAGGGGUAAAUGGCUCGGGAGGAUUUGGUUCUACUAAUUUGCAUAAUUGAAAGAUGUUUAGAUCACAAGUCGGAUUUUUCUUGGCCCAUUUGAGAAUAGGUUUUUAGCAUGGUUUAACAAGAGAAGAAGGUUGUGGUCUUCUCUUCGAAGGGUUUUAAGAAACUAAUGGUUUUGAUUUUUUAGAAGAGCCAUAAGACACCAAAAAUUGGUAUCUUCCUUCACUUUCUCCGAGUGGCCCAAUAGAAGGGUCCUUCUCCUGUCAUUUCUAGAAGACUGGAUGUUUGGAUUUCCAUUUUCUUCUGGAACGCCUAUCAUCAUCAUCAAGAUCCGGUAUCAUAUAGACCUGGAAAUCCAUAUCCUAUGGGCAAUGCCCCGAAAUGGUGUCUUUGAAAUAAACUAUAGGAUCUCCUUCAAAAUUGAAGGCUUGUAUUUCAAGUUUGUCAACUUCUGAGCUUUCUGGUUCGUCUAGAACAUAUGGCAUCAUGGUAAGGAUGGUUGGAAAGAUAGAAAUUUUUGGCUUCUCAUGAGAUUGUUCGAAUUUUGAUGACUAUAAAGCCAUCUUUGUUUUUGGUGAACUUUGAUUUUAUAGCUUGAAUGGGUCUGGAAUUUUGAUGGAGCUUUUCACAAUUAGUCACCCAAGUAUCUGGGAGGAGCUUAACUAACUCAAAGCAAGGGGUUUUUUUUAGGCACGUGGAUGCAAGAUGGUGUUUGAUUGCUGUCAACAGAAUUGAAUAGAGCAUUGUCUGUCGAAGAUAGCUCUAGAUCCAAGGCGUGAUUUUCGACUCAAUCCACCAUUUGGUAAUGAAGGGUUGUAGCAAUUGAAUUAGCAAUUUGGGGUGCUUUAGUUAUUUGCAACUAGACCUUUAAGGCAUCAAGGACUCGAGGAUCAAGCAAGGUCUUAUUAAAGGUACGAAAAAGGGUAACAAAGAUUGUGCUAGCAUUGAGGGUAAUCUCAAUUGUUCCUAUGUAAGCACAUUGGUAUUUGAGGAACCAGAUGUGAAGGAGCACCAUUCUAGCAGCCACUAGAAGGCCUUUUCAUUCAUGAAAGGUUAAAGUAAGAUGGACUACUCCAAGAUGGAGAUGUGUAUAAUGCCAUUGUUGAACAAGUUCAGGAGGAAAAUGAAGAUUAAGAAAAUGUUCUUACUGAGUAGUGGGAAUAGGAUGCUAAUCAAAACGAGUAAACUAGAUAUACUCAUUGACAUCUUUUGGAGUAUGUUUGAUGAGUUUUGAAUGGAACAUAUAAAGAAAAAGAGUGGGGUUUUGAAAAUGCAGAAUAUAAAUUAUUAGAGGGAGUUGAGUGCUAAAAACCCUGUAAUAUUUAUUGAGGUAAGUGAUAAAGAUAAUCAAGCUUUGAGGAAGUAGAUUUUCUGAAGAUAAAAAGAUCUAAGGACAAAGAUACAUCUAUCACAAUAGAUUAUUGAUCGGUCAUGAUGAUAAGAAAUUCUUCUCAUUAGUUAUGAUACUUCAUUAAAGAAGAAUGAUGUUAAUAAUUUGAGAUAAAUUAGGACACCAUAAUAAGAUAAAGGGUCCCCCCCUUCAUCCCCUGAGUAACAAGAUAUUGAUGUGUUCUAUAUAAGAAAAACAAAAAAAUAAUAAUAAUUUAUGUGGCUUAGAGAACGCCGAACUAUAAAACGUUAUCUUUUUUUGCAAUGUCAAGACUAGUGACAGGGACAGGCGCCUGUCGGCAGAGUUACAUGCACCGCCCCGUGUUUUGCAAAUCAAUCACGUUUCUAACCUUUAAAAUAUAAAAGAGUAUCAAAGAUUAAAAAAUGGCCGGUAGCGGGAAUAAUUCAAGGCUAAAAUCGAAAAGCUGAAAGAAAGUGCGUGUAUUAUGAAAGUGGAGGAUGAAGAUGGAGUGCGAAUGUAAAGGGGAAAAUAUGAAUGAAUGUGAAGAAACUGCAAAAAUCGCCGAUGUUUUAUUGUCUGCCACUGUCUAUUUUUAAUCCUUCUACUUUGACUUGUGACGAUUUUGGACUCUAAAGUAAUAUUUGAAUCAAAAUUACACAACAAAUUUCAUAUUUCGUAUCAAAACUUAGACAGAAAUUACCGAUCGAGUACUAGAUGUGAACAUUGGCCCUGAGGUGGAGUACUAAAAUAAAGUUGAGAGAGGGCUAAAAAAACGAAAGUGGUCCCUAUGUACAAUUUCUCAUAUUCAAUUUGGGAACAAAAGAAAUGGUCCCUAUGUACUAUUGCUCAUAUUCAAUUUCGGUUGAUGUCCUUUAUAGGAUAAUAGAUAUGAUCUACUUUAUUUUUACGAUGGACAUGAUCUUCGAGCUGAUCUUCAAUUGCAAUUUUUCAGACAAACUUUGUACUUUCUAAUCCAAGUGAAAAUGAAAAGUAGAUGCUAAGUGGUAAAGAUUAAUUAUCUAGCGUUGAAGGUUUUCUUAACAUGUAGCAUCUAGGGAAAUUCUCAACUAUUGAAACUUAAUGUCCAUUUUCUUAACCUUUAACGAGCCUUUGGGAAUUUCCUCCAUGUUUUCCCUUCUUCUUCUUUUUUUAAUAAUUUGGACCUUAGUGGCCAUUUUUUGUCAUUUUCGUUUUUUUUUUUCUAUCUGCAAUUAAAGUUAUUGAGUUGUACCAUUAUUUCUUUUAGUUUUCAAGUAUUUUUGUCUUUGGGAACUUCACACUCUUUUUUGGUCUUUUCUUUUUACUAUUUCAACCUUUUCUUUGUUUCUCUUUAUUUCUUGAAAUUUACUAGCCUUUUUUUUCUCAUCUUAUUUUGGUCUUUUCUAUUUCUUGUAUCUCCAGGGUUACACGAUCAAUUUCAUCCAAUAGGAUUAUUAAUGAUAUAUUAUGGAUUGGCACAAAAUUGACUUGAAUAUGUUUAGUCUCGGUCCAAACAUGUUAACUUCAUCUCAAGUUCAAAUCAUUUUAUCAUCACGUGUCAAAAUUGCCACCUUAUUACUAGAUGGAAAAGAAAUUGAAAAUUUAGAGAGAGGUUCUUUCCUAUUUUAUAAGUAAAAUAUAGGGAGAUGCAACCUACACGUCUACUAUGGACAGGAAACAAAAAGGUGUACGUAGGGGUUGGCGAUUAAUUUUUUUACUUUUUCUGUUUUACUCUCAAGCAAAUUUGAGACAUUGGAUCCUUUUACCGCUUUUACUCUCAUGCUGAUAAUUUCAUAAGUGAGAAGCAUUUUCACAAAAAAGAAGAAGAAGAAAAGAGUGGAUAAAGGAAGAAGAAUGGCACGUGUCAUUUAUAUGAAGCAACGAACCCUUCUCUGUCUGUCGGCAAGGAAAUCCACAUGAGAUUGUAUUAAAUGAAAUUCAGUUUCCUCGAGCAAUCAGGUCCAUAUGUUUGUCCCCACAAAUCAACGAUGAUCUCAAACGUGUCUUAUCCUUUUGAAUAGUUGAUGGCCUUUCUCCUUUGAAAAAGUUGAAGCGACAUGAUCCAAAAGAAAAGGACGAAAAAAGUUGAACGAACCGAUUUAUUUGUCUUCUUAAAGUAAUUUGACUGGCCUAGCCCAUGCGACAACGAUAUCAUCAAGUCGAGUCUAGUCGAGUCUUAUGGCCAUGGAGGAGCCGUCGAGACUCAAUUGCAAGAGCAUGAAAAUAGUGAAGGAGUGCCAAGACGAUGGCUUGGGUAGCUCGGCCUAGACGACGAGGCACGGCUUGGCCGAUAGUGGUGGCAACUUAGGGUACGGAGGCGGAGGGUGGUGGCGCAGAGGCUGUGGCUGAAGUAUGAGGGGAUUGGGUGUUAAGUUUUCUUUUUUGGGGAUCUAGAACGGGUUUUUUAACCCGGGGACUAGAGUUAGACAAGUAUGGCAAUCCUUGGGGACGGGAUACCCACGUAAACCGAACACCUAACCUAAAACACACAUUGAAUUGGAAAGACUUGAUAGGAAAACAAGGUGCAAAAGCAAAUGAAAAUUGGACAGGACAAUCUUGACAUUGGUUUUGACCCAAAAAAAAAAAAAAAACCUUGACAUUGGUUGAGCAUGUCUUCUUCCUAUCUCAUUAUUGGAUUUCUGGACAAAUAUGGAGCAGGAGCCACUCCAAAAUCAUUUAUGUUUUGUUCAGUGAACUUCUUGAUCUAAUUUUAUUCCUCGAACGGGCCUUGAAUUCUAAGGCAUGAUUUUCACCUCCGGACGGUGUAAAACUGAAUUCGAGCCGUAGAAAAUCGAUGGCCUCCAUGUCAAUCCCACUUGAUAGAAUGGUCCAAAUUCAGUUUGAUACGCCCGCUAAAUUCUGCACAAGAAAACGACAAAUGACAGACGCGGAUGCGAUAAUGUAUAGAGGCUGAAACGCGGGGAACAUUAACUCCUUUAUCAGUCGCCGCGUGGCAGUACACUUCAAGCCACUGGUCCUCAUCCACGUGACUCCUUGGCCACCAGUCAGAUAUUUUCGCAUAUAAAUCCCCGUAUCCCCCCGCCUUCGAUCACCACCCAUCAUCUCAGCUAGCAACGCACCUUUGGAGGGCAAAAUUUCCUUAAGAGAGAGUCACCAAAAUGUCUGAUCACGGUCAUCACGGCGGAGGCGGGCACGGAGGUCCUGGAGGUGGUGGCCCUGGCGGAGGUGGCCAUGGAGGUCCUGGAGGUGGUGGCCCUGGCGGAGGUGGCCAUGGAGGUCCUGGAGGCGGUGGCCCUGGCGGAGGCCAUGGAGGCCCUGGAGGUGGUGGCCAUGGCGGAGGCCAUGGUGGUCCUGGUGGAGGCCAGGGUGGUCCAGGCGGCAAGCCCGGAGGAGAUCACGGCCAUGGCGGACCAGGCGGACCGGGCGGGCAAGGCCCCGGCGGACAUGGCCCUGGUGGCCACGGUCCUGGGGGCGGCCACCAGCACGGCAGAUGCUAGUUGGUAGACUAGCGUCCUAUCGUUUAUAUGUGAUGUAAAGUAUCUCCGGUGCCUUUUAACCGUCUUCUAUUUGAGGUUAAAAAAAAAAAAAAAAAACCCAAAAAAACUAAUAAGCACCGUGUGGAGUCAGUCUUGUAAUUGUGCUUGCAAGUAUCCUAAUGAAUUUCAAGGUUCCUAAUAUGAUCUGUAGCUUUGUGCAUGAGAUGUCCUUGAACCUCAUUCAUGAAACAGGUUACAAAUGAAAGAAACAGAAUUCCGAAUUAAGAUAAGCAUGUUUCUUCA
rnacentral:lncRNA from 1 species